rnacentral:lncRNA from 1 species
CACAGAGAAAGGCUUCGAAUGGGUAAACAAGACAGAGACAUUAAAGGAUGUUAUCGAUCGACACUUCCCUGAAAUGACAGCGAAAUACAUGAGAUGCACAAGUGCUUUCUCACUAUGGAGUUCAGAUCCAGAUCCUAAACACUACUUACCUCUAUAUCUGAGACCAGCAAUCUAAUACGAAGUACUAUAUUUGGUUGAAUGUGAACUUUGUAUAACCUUUGUAUGCGAAUAAUAUGUAAGAGACAACGCCAAGCUAGUUUGCAUGUAAAAUAUAAAGUGACCUUAGUUUACGUUCAGAUGAAUAAACCACCGGGAGCUUGUAUGAGAGUGAGUUUGACUGCCCUAACUAUGGCGGAGUCUAUGACACGUAGUUUUGUAGCAUACCUGUUGUAAAUGGAACAAUCAAUAAUGUAUUAGUAUAAUAUGUGAUGCACUUGCUUGUACUUGCAAGUUCUUUUUUGUUUUCUGGAAAAAACUUUUGUUGUGUAAAUGACUCUGGGAAAAUAAAUAAUUUCCUCAUCAAGUUGAACUCGAACUUUAGCUUGUAUAAGGAAGCUUGCAUGUGUUAAAUUACUUACCUUCGAUGUUUUCACCAAAUCAUACUGAUUUACAAUGAUGAAGUUAUAAAUCAAACUGAGAAUAUAUAUUACUAAUUUAGCGAUAAAUGGUUUAGUGACUAAAGUUAUGUAAAGACCCCCUGCCAUUUAUUUUAUUAGAUUAUUGAGAGUGUUAAGAAAGGGGCGUAUGUUAAGUUGAUUGAGAGUUAAGAUGAAGAGGAGAAGCGGGUGAAUAGGGAGGAGGAGGGAGGCUAAGUUAGCAGUUACGGUUGCUAAGAUAGCAGUGUUUGAGAGCUUGUAUGCGGGAUUAGAGGAGAGAGGUGGGGAAAAGAGGUUGUUUAGGCUUGCUAAGGCUAGGGAGCGGAAGGGUCGUGACCUCGAUCAAGUGAAGUGCAUUAAGGGGGAGGAUGGUAGAGUUCUGAUGGAGGAUGUUCACAUUAAGAAGAGGUGGCAUGAGUAUUUUCAUACUCUUGAAUGAUGAGGGGGACAGAGACAUUGGGUUAGGGGAGCUGGAGCACUCAGAGGAGUGCCGUGAUUUCAGUUACUGUAGACGUUUUGAAGUUGAGGAGGUCAGAGAGGCGAUUAGCAGGAUGCAGAGGGGUAGGGCAACGGGGCCUGAUGAGAUUCCGGUGGAUUUUUGGAAGUAUGCUGGUGGGGCAGAUUUAAGGUGGUUGACUGAUUUAUUUAACGACAUUUUCAAGACUGUGAAAAUGCCUGAGACCUGUAGAUAGAGUACGAUGAUUCCGUUAUAUAAGAAUAAGGGUGAUAUUCAGAGUUGCAACAACUACAGGGGUAUUAAGUUGUUGAGUCACACUAUAAAGAUUUAGGAGAGGCGGUUGAGCGGAGGUUGAGGAGAAUUGUGUCUAUUUCGUAGAAUCAGUUUAGAUUUAUGCCCAAUCGCUCGACGACAGAGGCAAUCACCUGGUGAGGAGAUUGACGGAGCAGUAUAGGGAAAGGAAGAGGGACUUACACAUGGUGUUUAUUGACCUGGAGAAAGCGUAUGACAAAGUCCCUAGGGAGGUUCUUUGGAGAUGUUUGGAGGUAAGAGAGGUCCUGGUGGCGUACAUUAGGUCUAUUAAGGACAUGUACGAUGGAGUGAAGACUCGGGUAGGGACGACUCGGAGCAUUUUUCUGUCGAGACAGGGUUGCAUCAAUGAUCGACUCGUAGUCUGUUCUUGUUUGCGUUGGUGAUAGAUGUGUUGACGCGGAGUAUUCAAGGUGAAGGGCCUUGGUGGAUGCUAUUUGCGGAUGAUGUAGUGUUGAUUGAUGCAAAUUAGAGGUUUAGAGGCAAACCCUUGAGUUUAAAGGGUUCAGGUUGAGUAGGUCGAAGACGGAGUAUAUGGAAUGCUAGUUUGAGGACUUGAGGCAAGAGGACAAGGGGUAGUGAGGUUGGAUUUUCAGGGUGUUUGUAAGAGGGAUAGUUUUAAGUAUCUUGGGAAUGCAACAAUUGACGAGGAUAUCUCUAAAUGUAUUGGGGCAAGUUGGAUGAAGUGGAGGCUCGCCUCUGGAGUGUUGUGUGAUAAGAAGGUGCCCCUUAAGCUUAAAGGCAAAUCUAUAGAAUGGCAAUCCGUUCGGCCAUGCUGUAUGGAGCAUACUGUUGGCCAGUCAAGAACUCCUACAUUCAAAAAUUGAAGGUGACAGAAAUGAGAAUGUUGUGUUGGAUGUGCAGACUUACUAGAGAAGAUAGAGUUAGGAAUAAGAUUAUUCGGAAGAAGGUGGGAGUAGCUUCGAUGGAGGACAAGAUGCAAGAAGUGAGGCUGAUAUGGAUUGGGUAUGUUAUGGGGAGGGGCACGGAUGCCCUAGUUUGUAGUUGUGAGAGGCUAGCUCUGGAUGGUUUUAGGAGGGUUAGAGGUAGGUUGAAGAAAUACUAGAGGGAGGUGAUUAGACAUGAUAUGGAACAGUUACAGCUUACUGAGGACAUGGCCCUAGAUAGGAAGGUAUGGAAGCCGCAGAUAAGGGUAGAAGGCUAGUGUGUGUGGGUGAGUCCUAUCAAGUAGUUAGGAGAGCUUUGGUGUAUCCUGGUUAGUAAUCCUAGGACUGUGUCCAUAGGUAGGAGCAGCUAGUUAGGAGAGUUUGGGUGUGGUGGGUAUUUUUGGUUUGUGAGUGUAUGGUAUUACUAUGUGGGUAUCUUAUUUCUUAUUUCUGUUAUGCCAUCCAUUCUGUUUCAUGUUUCAUUACGAAUGUGUUUGCUAUUCUUUAUCUUGAGCCGGGGGUCUAUCAGAAACAUCCUCUCUACUUCUUCGGAGGUAGCGGCAUAAACUGCGUAUAUUUUACCCUCCCCAGGCCCCACUUGGUGGGAAUACACUGGGUUUAUUGUUGUUGUAUUAAUAAUAUAAGCAUCAGAGAGGCAAAAUUUUUACAUAUAACUUUUUUCCAUUAUUAGUAAGAGCCAAUUAUAGGCAAAGUGACUAGUAAAUGAAAAGCAAAAGAAUUUGAAACACGAGAGUACUAAGGCUCUGUUUGGCCAUGAAAAUUACUUUUUUCCUAAGUUGGAGUUGGAGUUGAAGAUGUGUCACACCCCUUUUUUUACAACCAAAAAGAUAUGAUUUUAAGUUCGAAAGGGUUUUUAUUAUUAAAGUGACAAAAUGAAAAUUUGUUUCAAAAAAAGAUUAUUUUUACAUUCAAAACUCAGAGUCGCCACUUGGCAGAAUCCGGUAUACCAAGUCACCUUUGGAAAAUCUUUUUUGAAAUAAUUUUGACUCUAAAAGACUGGUUUGCGAAUAGAGAUUCCGACUAAGUAAUUCUGUUGACCGAGGGGAAGGUGUUAGGCACCCCUCAGUCCAGUGGUUUAACCACGGUCACUUGGUUGAGAGUAUCGACUAAUUUGACACCAACUAGUGUAUAAACCACACAAAAACACGUGAAACAAUCAAUCAACAUGUCAAACAAAAUGAAUCCCAAAAAAUAUAAAGUCCAGUCCAAUUAUAAAGUCCCAAAAUAAAAGAAAAUGCGGAAAUAUAAACCUACUCUAUUCUACCUAAUCCUAAGCUAUGCUCCAUUGCUUUCUCUACCUGUCGCCUCGGGCCUUCUCUCGAACGUCCUUCGGGUACAAAAUAUUUUGAGGCAUUCCCCGACGAAUAAACACAAAUACCUCGGGGUAUUCCCCGGCCAAAUAGUACAUUUUAAUCCAAGUGCGAUAAACUAGAAAAUAUUCAACAAAUAUUCCAUAUUCAAACAUUCAACGCAAGCACUUAUUCCUAAAUUUUGCCAACCCAACCCUAUAUUGCUUAUACGUUUUGACGUGUCAUAAAGCCAACAUAUUCAUGCUUAUCCCGAAUUUAACAAAACAACAAUGGACCAAGAUUUAACUACAUUCAACUUUUAUCCAUUUCUCCAUUCUCACCCCCAAACUUCAUUUUAUAAAUCAUGCCAUCAAAAUUAUCCCAAUUAGUUUCACGUAUCACCGAAAUCACGUAGUCAAGCACAUAACCAUAACAUUAUAAUAUCAACAAAAUCCAACGACCGUGAUCAUACCACACAUAUUCACAACUAAUUCAACAAAUCGAAAUAAAGAGAAGAGAUCAAGUUAAAGAAAAUGGACCUUUUGACAAUCUGAUCUUUGUUGAUAAUAAGAAAACCUGGACUUGGAAUUUCAAAUAGAACCUCAACGGCGACGAAUCCAACCCGAAUAGAAAAAUAGCAAUCUGAACUGAGGCCUCAAACGACCUGACAGAAGACCAAAUGUGAUGUAAUCUGAGUUCCGAUGAACUCAAACGGGACAACAAACAAAAAAUCCAGAAAUAAAUUCCAGCGACCUCACUAUUUCAAGCUGGAUUCAGCUAAAAAUCAGUGGGAAACAAAAAAAUAUUGAGAAUUUUGAACCGGGAUCGUUGAAUGAACAAAACCGGGCAAACGUUGAUGAGACUUCCGACUAAGUAAUCGCUGGAACAGUGACCAAAACCACCAACCCAUUUCUAAGUAACCCGAAACCAGUCCCAUUUUUUUAUCCGUUUCAGACUUCAACCUCGAAUCCCUUUCUCUCUUUUUUCGUUCAGCUUACUUUCUCCCCGAUCUGGACUUUUUAGUAUGUGGUGUGUGCAAUUUUGUGCCUUGGCGCUAUGUAUGUGCGUGUAUACGAUGGUGUAUCGAUGUGUGUGUGCUCAAAAAUGAAAAAAAAAUGGAGAAAAAUGGAGCUCUGGGUACGUGAACUGAGGAAGAGCAGAAAACAAUCCUAUCUCCUAUGUUUUUCGUGUGAAGAUCAUAAAAAAAUGAGUCCCCCCUCUGUUUUUUUUUAAAAGAAGAGAUCCAAAAAAAAAUGAUGACCCCACCCACCCUCUCUUUCUCUCUCUCGUGUAUAUAUCUAUUGUAUCAAACCAAUCCCCAUCAAAUGUUCCCCCUUUUUUUUCGUUUUCCUUCUACACAUCUCCCUUUUAUGUGAUGAAAUUCCUUUUCCUAUUCAUCUUCUGGACCAUCCAGGAAGCUUCCUUUUUUGUGCCCCCCCUUUUUUCUUUUAUGAAUUGAUCUCUCCUUGAAUAAAACGUGAGGGGUGGGGGGUCAUAUGGGGUGAGGUAUCAUUUUUUAAUUGGAGGGGUAAGGGUUAGGUGUCUAUUUUUGAUUGGGUGAGUUGUUGGAAUCUUUAAGAUAAGACAAAAUUAGUUAGGGUUUGUUAUUUGGAUAAAAACAAAAGGGAAUAAAUAAAUAAGUAAAAGAUGAGGUGGUUAUUUUUUUUUUUUUUUUAGAAAAUUAUAAGAUGGGAUCAAAGUGCGUGAUAACGGAGUAAAGAUUAUUUUCGAUGGGAAAAAAUUACAUGUCUACAUCAUGCCCCCUUUGAAUGUAAACACCGAGUUUUUUCAUACAAAGAAGUAGACAACGAGACAGAAUUUUAUCCCGAUCAUUAUUUGAGGAAAGAAGCAAAAAGAAGAAGGACAACUGAGUCUUGACGGACAUCCUACCUACCCGAGUUAUGAAGGAAUCAAGUGACAGGUAUCUCAAAGGAUUGGAAGGAGAUGGACUAUACCGAGUUGGAGAGUCAAGAGAGGUUCCAUCGAGGUUCCGGUCCGCCGUUCUGUCAUUACAUCAAAAAUGAAAAUUACAAGUUAAAACAUAAAUAAAAUUACAAAAUCCUAUCUAUGCAGCUUUCCUUGACUUUUUACUUGAGUUUUAUCACUCUGUUCUACAGGCGGGCUCCUAACUUGCAAUUUCUUUCAACUUGUUGUCUGGAUUUUCAUUUAUUCUCUUUGUUGCUUUACUUUCAACUCUUUACCUUGUUGCUUGACUUUCAACUCUUCACCUUAUUUCUUGACUUUCAACUUCUUUACCCUGUUCUCUAGGUGGGCUCAUGUGUCACGCCUCAAAUCAUAUUGGGGCGGACUGGCACCUAUAACCGAGGAGGUCCGGGAGAACCAUCUCAUAACCUUAUACUUCCCAUGCAUACCUCUAUGACAACCCGAAAUUCGGAUAGCAUCAUGUCGCAUAUAAAAGGAAAUAAUCACCUGUAUAAGCUCGAGCACACAUAUAUAUGUAUAUACAAUACUUGGCCGUUGGAGCCAUCACGUCUAUUAACAAAACACCACCUUGACUGUACAUUAGGUCUACAAAGCCUCUAGACAAUACACAAAGUUUAACUAAGGUCGGGACACACCCCACCAUAUAACUAACUUCUAUACAAUACCAAAAGUGACUAGACAUGACACGGAAAGCCUCGACGCAAACUGGAGCUCACCAAAAGCAACUGGAUAUCCUGGCUCCUACUUGGGCGGUGUAUGAACUGAGGUAUCUGUGCCUGUAGCAUGAACCCGUGGGUGACGUCAGUACGAAAUAUGUACUGAGUAUGUAAAGCUGUAGAUAAUCACAUAUGAUAUAGGAGCUCAAUAGAAAUUAGAAACAAGUGAAUAAAUCGUAAUAGGAGUGGACCACACUUACUAGAACUUGUGACAACCUAUACAUUAUAUUUAUUCAAUCACUUUACCUUCGUUCUUAUCAUCUUUGUAAUCAUUACUGUACUGAACUGUGACCAUUAGGUUGCCUCCAGUACAUAUCAACUGGGAUCGACCCAUGAUAGGCAUAUGCCCUUGGGAUACCACCCAUAAACAAAUAAAUAGGGAUCAACCCAUGAUAGGCUUAUGUCCCUGGGAUACCACCCGAUAAGAGAGAACUUCCAUCACUUAGUUCAAUUAAUCUUUGAGAUUGUUAUUUCGGUCGCCACCACAUUUUUGAUACUUUGAAACAAUGAUACAUCAAUAAGAGACAUAUAAAUAGACCAUCAAUGCAAUAACAAUGAAGUAAAAACUCAUUGGCACAUCAAUGAAGUAUUUUGGAGUCAUCAAUGCCAUAACAAUGAAGUAGGAACUUAUUGGUAUAUCAAUGAAACGUUUUGGAGUCAUUAAUAGCACAUGGAUCUUGUUCGAGUAACCGGAUACCUUCUGACAUUCAUUAGUGCAAUAAACAUGUAAGAUUUGGAAAACAAGUAAGUAUUGAAAUGUCUUGACAUCUUGUAGGGUGGAAACAAGUUCAUUGGUAACGUAGGACAUCAUACAAAACCAUUAUGGAUCACAUGUUACUGAAUAACUUUGGAAACUUUCUUAAUAGAACAAUUGUUCACUUUCAUGCCAAAGAUAUGGUAUAGAGUAUGCUUUACAUACCUGACUGUCAACCUUCAAUACUAGUCCCAAAUGGACUUCUCGUCUUUUCGGAUUACUUAUCUACAAUGAACAUAUAUAGCAAUCUAGUAUUAGCGACCAAACGUCACAAUUCAAUUAUUUGAAUUCACCAAACUAGUGGUUAAGUAGUAAGCCUUAAUUACACCAUAAAGGGUGUCACUUUAACCCUCUUAUACUCCAAUUACAUUCACAUGCCAUGCAUAUUCAUACAACAUCCUCCAAUAUCAAGUUUGGAUUCAUUUAUCCUUCCAACCAAUCCAUUAAACCAAAUUGAGCCAUAGACAUAAAUAAUCAUCAAUUCAAUAGUAUAUCACCAUAUCCACCUUCCAUAACUCAAUUACCAUAUCCACCUUCCACAAUUCAAUACAACCAAACCAUGCAAAAUAGUCCAUAACCCUAUUUUCAUCACCUUUCAAUAACAACCAAUACAUAUAAUCCUCUAUCACACAUAUACAUAUGGAAGAGAACAAAGGCAAACAAUAUUCAUACCUUAGAAUUCACCUCUUGAUUAUGCAAUCCUAUUUUCACAAAUAAUAGGUGCCGUUCGAAGCUCUCGAGAUGACAAACGCAGUUAUCGGAUUACUUUGGAAUUUCUACGGUUGAAUCAAAAGUAAUUUAAAGGUCAAAUUUGGCUAGGGUUUGUUCUUUCUCAAUGAUUGAUGAUGAAAAUGAGUUUUUGAACUCAUAUACAUGUAUAUAUACACAUAUUCCCAUCCAUAAUAUAAUAGGAAAUGACCAAAAUGCCUUUAAAAUUUAAAUAAUGUCAAAUCUGUCCUUUGGUAGACUNNNNNNNNNNNNNNNNNNNNNNNNNNNNNNNNNNNNNNNNNNNNNNNNNNNNNNNNNNNNNNNNNNNNNNNNNNNNNNNNNNNNNNNNNNNNNNNNNNNNNNNNNNNNNNNNNNNNNNNNNNNNNNNNNNNNNNNNNNNNNNNNNNNNNNNNNNNNNNNNNNNNNNNNNNNNNNNNNNNNNNNNNNNNNNNNNNNNNNNNNNNNNNNNNNNNNNNNNNNNNNNNNNNNNNNNNNNNNNNNNNNNNNNNNNNNNNNNNNNNNNNNNNNNNNNNNNNNNNNNNNNNNNNNNNNNNNNNNNNNNNNNNNNNNNNNNNNNNNNNNNNNNNNNNNNNNNNNNNNNNNNNNNNNNNNNNNNNNNNNNNNNNNNNNNNNNNNNNNNNNNNNNNNNNNNNNNNNNNNNNNNNNNNNNNNNNNNNNNNNNNNNNNNNNNNNNNNNNNNNNNNNNNNNNNNNNNNNNNNNNNNNNNNNNNNNNNNNNNNNNNNNNNNNNNNNNNNNNNNNNUUGGCUGGCCUCAGUAGUUUGUGUGCAGGAAAUUUUCCUGCACAUUUACUAUUCCCAAUAUCCCGGCCACCGUUUUAUAGUUUUGAACGUGCUCGAUUAUAUCCGAAACCUAUCCGUUUUUGGAAAUCUUUAUAUCGUUGGAAAGCUUAUUCAAUAACCUUCGUAUGGAACCAUCGACGGGCGAAUUCCGGUAUAAAUAAAAUAAAAUAAAAUUAAUUCCAUAUAAAUAAGACCAAUACACGUACUUGAAUACGACAAUACACGUACUUGAAUACGGGGUGUUACAUCAUGACUUAUAAUUUCCUCACUCUGUUCUCCGGGCGAGCUCCCGACUUUCAAUUUCAUCACCCUGUUCUUCAGGCGGAUUCCUGAAACCACAUCAAAACUAGAAAGAAAAUUAUUCCAAACAAAUGUUAUGAUAAAGAAAGAAUUCAUUUUCCCGAAAGUAAAAUCAUAUUUUUCAGUAGGGUCCUUAACAAAAAGUGAAGUCCCAUUUUCCAGGAGGGUCCUGAAUAGAAAUUAAAGUCCCAUUUUUCAGGAGGGUCCUGAACAGAAAUUAAAGUCUCAUUUUUCAGGAGGGUCCUGAACAGAAAGUAAAAUCCCAUUUUCAGGAGGGUCGUGAACAGAAAGUAAAGUCCCAUUUUUCAGGAGGGUCCUAAACAGAAAGUAAAAUUCUAUUUUUCAGGAGGGUCCUGAACAGAAAGUAAAAUCCCAUUUUUCAGGAGGGUCCUGACAUAAAGUAAAUUUCCAUUUUUCAGGAGGGUCCUGAACAAAAAGUAAAAUCUCAUUUUUUCAGGAGGGUCCUGAACAGAAAGUAAAAAUUCAAUUUUUCAGGAGGGUCCUAAACAGAAAGUAAAAUGUCAUUUUUCAGGAGGGUCCUGAACAUAAAAGUAAAGUCCCAUUUUUCAGGAGGGUCCUGAACAUAAAGUAAAAUCCCAUUUUUUAGGAGGGUCCUGAACAGAAAGUAAAAUCCCAUUUUUCAGGAGAGUCCUAAACAUGAAAGUAAAGUCCCAUUUUUCAGGAGGGUCCUGAACAUGAAAGUAAAGUCCCAUUUUUUAGGAGGGUCCUGAACAGAAAAAAUAAAAAUCUCAUUUUUCAGGAAGAUCCUGAACGAAAAUAAAAUCCCAUUUUUCAGGAGGGUCCUGAACAGAAAGUAAAAUCUCAUUUUUCAGGAGGGUCCUGAACAGAAAGUAAAGUCCCAUUUUUCAGGAGGGUCCUCAACAGAAAGUAAAAUCUCAUUUUUCAGGAGGGUCCUGAACAUAAAUUAAAAUUCCACGGAAGUUCUUUUCCAAUGGCCGCUGAAUUAAGUGAAGCGAAUUUGCCCCUGUUUCAACAAAGAAAAUUUGUCAGUUAAAAACUAGUGAUGGUUUGCAGCACUUGGCUUUCCUGACACCUGCUCCAAUGUCCAUUCCCUUCAUUUUAUUUCAGAUUGCUGGCACUUGCCCCUGUCUUGUCGUAUCAUUGACCUAGACCAGAUCGGGGAAAUGCCUUUGACUCAAACACCGACUAUUUUGCCAUGCCUCUGAGAUGCACCUUUUGACAUCUGAUACUCCCAUGAAUCCAGCAGCCUGUUAGUUGAUAGACUACCUUUGCCUUGUUUUAAAUUAUGAUCAUGUUUUUCUCGUGUGCUGGUCCUUGGCUUUUCCUCAUACAAUUGGAAAGACUGGUAGCAAGUUUUGAAAAUUUUUCUUGCUUGUUUUGACACAGAAUAGACUCAAAGAGUGUAAAGAAAUGAUGGUGACUUUUCUUUUGAUAAAAGACAUAAAAGGACAAAAAUAAGAAUAUAUAAAUGAAAGAAAAAGUGUAAUGUCCCUUUUUUUUAACAAAGAAGAAAACUUAUCUGAAUAUGGCAACCAACUCUAAUGACUAUGACAUGCAUUUUGGAUUAAGCUGCCUGAUCUUCCUAUCUAAACUUUCCAUUUGUUGUUGAGUUUGUGCCUUUGUCGCUGCUGCUUCUUCCAACCCGUUGGACUCAUAUAUCUCAUUCAAUUGACGACAUCUUGAAAUAUUUUUGCCAACAAACCUCUUUCCUUUUCACCUUUCUUUCGAACUCGCCAUCGCCUUACGGUGCCCAUGAGGGUUUUCACCAAUAAGACUCUCUCAUUUUUAUUUCUCUCAAAUCCCCAUCGCCUUAUGGUGCCCAUGAGGGUUUUCACAAGUAAGACUCUGUCAUUUUAUUUCUCUUGACUCAUCAUCGCCUUAUGGUGCCCGCGAGGGUUUUCACCAAUAAGACUCUCUCAUUUUUAUUUCUUUCCUAAUUUCUUAUGCUGAGGAAGACAAGUAGUACCCUACAAUGUAUCAUCAUAUCCAUUGCAUGCUUUGUCUUAACAUUAUCAAAUUUGAUUUGAAGGAAUUUCUUUGGUUGUAGCUUGGCUUUUGGAUAAGGCUAGAAAAGGAUGACAAGAGGCUCAAACGAUACUUGAAGUGGGGGUGGACUUACAACUUUAGAAUCGACUUAAACCGCACAUUAACUCAUGUCCCAGUUUAUUGACUGGGUGACUCUAAAAUCUUUAUUUGGUUGGACCGAGCCCUAAAUAGGGCAGCCUAUGUAUUUUACUCCUAAGAGAGGUGAAUCAGGUCGCACGUAGUUCCAUCAGCUUGUUCUUUGUUUUGAUUUGAUUUUUUUUAACUCCUUUUAUUCUUAUUUUCCUGACAUUUAUCUUUGACUCUAUUUUGAUUCCAAAAGAGGGAUAUGAAAGAAAAAUAAAACUAAGUUAAAACGGGUAAGCAAAGGAUGACACAAUGUUUGGACAAAAGAAUAAAAUGUCUUCAUCAUAUCAAUCUUAAAAAAUGCAAGUACUAAAUAUGCAAUAAAAUCAACAAAGUAUAAAAUAUCAUACAUAAUAUCUUUUGACCGCAUCAGCAUUGAUAGCCAUUUCUGCCAUUUUGCCUUCAAUAUCCAUCAAAUAUAAGGCUCCAUUGGGCAACACUUUCUUCACAAUGAAGGGACCUUGCCAGUUUGAGGAGAACUUGCCUUUCGCUUCAACCUGGUGAGGAAGGAUAUACUUCAAUACCAACUGACCAACUUCAAAAUGCCUGGGUCAUACCUUUUUGUUAUACGCUCGAGCCAUUCUCUUCUGAUACAAUUGGUCAUGACAUACCGAUGUUAGCCUUUUUUCCUCAAUCAAACUCAAUUGUUUCAGUCGGGUUUUGACUCACUCGUCAUCAUCAAUCUCUGCUUCUAUAAUGACUCGAAGAGAGGGAAUUUCAACUUCUGCAGGAAUGACUGUUUCUGUCCCAUACACCAAUAAAUAUGGAGUUGCCCCUGUUGAAGUGCGAACAGUAGUGCGAUAACCUAGCAAGGCAAAUGGCAACUUCUCAUGCCACUGUCUAGACCCUUGUACCAUUUUCCACAGUAUCUUCUUGAUAUUCUUAUUGGUGGCUUCCAUGCGCCAUUAGCCCUUAGACACUAUGGAGUGGAAUUUCGGUGUGCGUUCUUAAACUGUUGACACACUUCUUGCAACAAAUGACUAUUGAGAUUGGCAUCAUUGUCUGUAAUGAUCAUCUUUGGAACUCCAAACCUACAAAUGAUGUUGGCAUGAACAAACUCUACCACCGCUUUCUUUGUUAUUGACUUAAAAGUUACUGCUUCUACCCACUUGGUAAAGUAAUCAAUGGCCACCAAAAUGAAUCUAUGCCCAUUUGAUGCUUUCGGCUCAAUCGUCCCAAUCACUUCCAUCUCCCAGGCUACGAAAAGCCAUGGGGCAGGCAUCACGUGCAACUCAGCAUGAGGGGAAUGUAUCAGAUCACCGUGUAUCUGACAUUGAUAACAUUUCCGAACAAAAUGAAUAGAAUCCCGCUCCAUAGUAAGCCAAUAAUAACCUGCUCGAAGUAUCUUCUUUGAAAAGACAUAAUCGUUCAUAUAUGGUCCGCAUACUCCAGAGUGUAUUUCAACCAUGAUAGCCAAGGCUUCUCUUUUAUCUACACACCUCAAAAGUCCCAGAUCCAGAGUUCUCUUAUAUAAGAUUCUCCUACUUAAGAAAAAUCCACUAGCCAAACGCCUAAUGGUCCUCUUUUGAUCACAGGUUGUAUGUGUUGGGUAUUCUCUUGACUGAAUGUAUCACUUGAUAUCGAAGAACCAAGUUCUCCAUCGAGCUCUUCUAUCAACCGCAUUGUAGUAAGCAUGUUGAUCACGACUCUAUAUAUGCACUGGAUCGACGUAGGCUUUAUCAGGAUGUUGGAGCAUUGAAGACAGAGUGGCUAAAGCAUCAGAAAUCUCAUUAUGAAUCCUUGGAAUAUGCCUAAAUUUUACUGAUACAAACCAUUGACAUAGCUUCUGCAAGCAUUGUUGAUACGGUAUGAGCUUCAAAUCUCAUAUCUCCCAAUCGCCUUAAAUUUGAUGAACGAGCAAAUCUGAAUCUCUCAACACUAAUAGUUCCUGGACUCCCAAAUCAAUAGCUAACCUCAAACCAAGAAUGCACGCUUCAUAUUUCGCCAUGUUAUUGGUACAGUAAAAUCAAAGUUGCGCUGUUACCAGAAAAUAUUGCCCCGCCUCAGAGAUAAGGACUGCACCUAUUUCGACUCCUUUCAUAUUGAUAGCUCCAUCAAAGAAUAACUUCCAACCUGGAUCAUCGUCUAUAAUGACUUCAUCGACACACAACACCUCUUCAUUAGGAAAAUAUGUCUUUAGUGGUUCAUACUCUUCAUCAAUGGGGUUCUCAUCAAGAUGGUCUGCUAAGGCUUGAGCUUUCAUGGCGGUUCGAGUCACAUACAUAAUGUCGAACUCAAUAAGUAAUACUUGCCACUUUGCCAAUCGACCUGUCGGCAUAGGCUUCUGAAAGAUAUACUUCAACGGAUCCAUGCGGGAGAUGAUAAUGCUUCAACUUCUGUGCUACCCAAGUUAGGGCACAACGUGUCCUUUCAAGAAGAGUGUACCUGGCCUCAUAUGUGGUAAACUUCUUACUAAGAUAAUAAAUAGCCUGCUCCUUUUUGCCCGUGACAUCAUGUUGACCCAGGACACAAUCGAAAGAAUUGUCCAUAACUGAUAAAUAUAAGAUCAAAGGCCUACCAGACUCCGGUGGUACCAGGACAGGCAGAUUUGACAAAUAUAUUUGAUUCUGUCGAACUCUUCCUGACAUUCUUCAGUCCAUUCUACCACAACGCUUUUUUUCAGUAACUUGAAUAUGGGCUCACAAGUGGUUGUGAGUUGAGCAAUAAACAUGCUGAUGUAGUUCAGUCUACCAAGCAAUCUCAUCAUCUCCGUUCUAUUCUUGGGCGGGGGCAAAUCUUGAAUGACUUUAAUUUUUGAGGGAUCCAAUUCAAUUCCCCGACGGCUGACUACAAACCCUAACAGCUUUCUAGACGGAACUCCAAAUACAUAUUUUGUCGGGUUGAGCUUGAGAUUAUACCUACGAAGCCUUUCAAAGAACUUUCUUAAAUCUUUAACAUGGUCAGCCUGACUUUUUCACUUAAUAAUCACAUCAUCUACAUAGACCUCAAAUCUUUUUAUGCAUCAUAUCAUGAAACAUAGUAGUCAUGGCUCUCAUGUAUGUUGCUCCAGCAUUCUUCAGACCGAACGGCAUCACUCGAUAACAAUAGGUCCCCCAUGGUGUGAUAAAAGACGUCUUCUCUGUGUCUUCAUCAUCCAUAAUGAUAUGGUGGUAUCCAGCAUAACAAUCCACAAAAGAAGCAACUUCAUGUUUAGCACAGUUGUCCAGCAAAAUAUGGAUGUUGGGCAGUGGAAAAUCAUCUUUAAGACUUGCUCUAUUCAAAUAAUCAACACAUACCCAAAUUUUGCCAUCUUUUUUUAGGACAAGAACAACAUUGGAUAACCACGCGGGAUAACUAGCCACUGGAAUGACUUUGGCUUUAAGUUGUUUCAUGAUUUCCUCUUUGACUUUAAUACUUACAUCAGUUUUAAACUUCCUCAACUUCUGUUUGACAGGAGGAAAUAUGGGAUCAGUUAGAAAUUUAUGGGCCACUAAUUCAGUGCUUAAACCAGGCAUAUCAUCAUAAGACCAUGCAAAAACAUCCUUAUAACCAGUUAAUGCUUGAAUCAUUUCAUCUUUUAACUGUGGCAAAGCAUGUACACUAAUUUUAGUUUCCCUAAUAUCUUCUUGAUUCCCUAGAUUGAUUGGCCCAGUUUCAUUCAAAUUAGGAUUCAGUUUGUCUUCAAACUGUUCCAACUCUUUGCUUAUUUCUUCUAGUGCCUCUUCUUCAUCGUAUUUCGUCUCUUGUUUCAUUACAUCUUGAUUAGUUUGGAUUUUAAGAUCAGGCUGAAAAUUCCGCAUGCAUGUCAUGUCAUUAGAAUCAGCAUAAAGAGAACUGUAUAACAAAGACAAAAAUAAAAUAUAUUAGACCGAAACAAAAGGGACAUUGUAUUUCAUUAAAAGGAAAGAAAUGAGGGUUUAAACAUAAAUUCCAACAUAACAUAAACAAACUAAAAUCUGAAUUACAACCCUGAAAUAACUCAGAUAAAUAGAAAGAAAAACAAAAUAAACUACCAAAACUCCCUCCUGACAGGGAGAGGAGUGACUUCCCAAUUAUUGAGCCGGACAACUAGGCCUAUGAACUGCACACCUUCCUUACUGGUACCUUCUCCUACUUCAACCAUAUCAACUUCAAUAAAAAGGUUCUGAAAGUCAUCAACCAAUUCAGCUUCAAAUUCUACAUACUUCGUGACACCGCUCUUAACAAAUAAUUUACUGAGUAGUGGCAUUGGGCGAGGGAGUGACCAUGUUUCCUUUUUCUUUCCCUUGGCUUUCUUCAGAUCUUCAACCAUAGGCUCAAAUCCCAGACCAAAAGUUCCCAUGUUCUCACUCGAAAAUAUGGGGUGAACUAUACCGUGCAGAGACGCUCCCAAACCCCUUCCUGGCUCGAAUCCGUAUUUCAAAAGUUCACUCACCAUCAUGAUAGAAGUGGAAGAAAAUUGUGGUCCCGUUAUAACCUACCCUUCAAGGAUACGAUCCACUAGCACUGUAUCAAAAAUUUUAUAGACAAAGGUCUCCUCUACAUUGUUUGCUUUAAUAAGAGACAAGGGAGAAUCUUCGUAGGCGAACAAAUCUCCUUCACUGUGAAUAACCACUUCUUGCCUGUCAUGCUCAAACUUAACCAUCUGGUGCAGUGUAGAUGCAAUCGUCUUGGCCUUAUGGAUCCGCGGUCUUCCCAAAAACAGAUUGUAGGAGGAUUCGAUAUUCAAUACUUGAAACUCGAUGACAAAUUCGAUAGGCCCAAUAAAUAGCAUUAGUUUUAUUUCGCCAAUGGAAUUUGAUUUUGCACCAUCAAAAGUCCCGACACAUACAUUGUUGGGCUUGAUCCUCUCAUCACCGAUAUUUAACUUUUGCAAAGUAGAAAUAAGGUAGAUAUUUUCACCUGAAUCUCCGUCAAUCAUGACAUGAGUGACGUAUAACUCUUCGCACUUCACUGUAAUGUAAAGGCCCCGGUUAUGCCCCGUACCUUCAACAGGCAAUUCAUCAUUAGAGAAGCUGAUCCGAUAGACCUCAAAAGAUUUUUCCAACCAUUUUCUCAAGCUGAUUUACUGUAAUCUCCCUAGGAACAUAUGCAUAAUAUUACGAUGUUCCUUGGAAUGUAACAACAAAGAUAAGAGGGAAAUUUGAGCGGGGUUUUUCUUCAACUGAUCUACUAUUGAAUACUCUGGCAACUUCAUCUUUUUCAAAAAUUCUUCAGCUUCUUCUUCGGUGACAGGCUUUUUGAUAGAUGAAAUUCCACUCACAAUUGGCUUGUACUUCCUUAAACUUUCAGGCACAAAACAUCUUUCUGACCGAGUUAAACCCCCUACCUCAUCUACAUCUUCCACUACUUCCUUCCCUUGAUAGGUCAUCAGAGUUCACCCAUAGUUUCAGGGAACCUUUUUCAAAUCAACUAUCGGAGGUUGGGUCACCGAUUUGAAAAUAAUAGGCGCUACCAGUGCUCCUUUCACCAUCAAGAUGGGCUUAUCCAGAGCUCCUACCACCGUCAACUUAGGUUUAUCCUGACUUAAAUCAACUUAUCUUCUGGCACCUUGCACUGUGAUCAUGAGUUUCUUUGUGCUUUCUUGGGCUUUAUCUUCUCUCAUUCCUUUCUGGCUUAAUGACAUUACUUUUAAUGAAUCUGCCACAUUCACUGAUUUGUCCUCAUUGGUCUGUAUUCUGACAAUAGGCUUAUAAUACCUUGACGACUUUUUUCCAUCAUAUAUCAAUUCUAACAUAUUGGUUUCAGCAUGGGUUGGCAACAGAUUUUGGUUAAUGUUUGGAACUUCUGGGUCUUGGACCAAAAUUUGAUUUGCAUCAACUAAAUCUUGGACAACUCUCUUCAAAUGCCAGCAUUUCUCGUGGCCUGGCAUGUCAGAACAGUAUGCACACCUUAAAGAAUAAUCAAGAUUCCUCGGAGGUAGAUUUGUAAGCCUUCCUUAAAUUGGGCUUAAAACCUUCAUUUUUCUUAACCUAUCAAACAAGCUAGUGUAUGACUCCCCAAGAGGUGUGAACUGAUUUUUGACCACCUUCUCUUUCUUGUACUCGGGCCUGGGUUGGAAACUAGGUCUGGAGGGGUUUUGGUAAUUUGGUAGAGCUGAUGGACCAUUUUGUGGAGCUUGCGCACGCCAUUGCAGGUAAGAAGGGGUUUGAGCAUAUGGUUGUACGCUAUAUACUGGGUAUGAGGGUGGUGGAAUAUAAUAUAGUGGGUUUUGUAGAGGUUAGUAAUGGUGAGGAGGAAUAUAUGGAGCUUGGGCAUAGACUUGGGCUUGGGAUUGGGGAUAGGGGUGAGGUGGUCUUUUGGGAUAGGAAUGGGUUUCAGCUACAACAGUCGCAACGUCCUCUUUCUUCUUUUUACCUCCAAACGCGCCAGAUCCACCUUUAAUCGCUUGUGUGGUGGCUUUCAACGCGGUAAAACUCACUAUUUAGCUGGUCUUGAUUCUGUCCUCUAUCAUCUUUCCUAUUUUGAGGACUUCAAUAAAAGACUUUUCCAUUGACGGAAGUAAAUAUUGAAAAUAGGUCUCAUCCUGUGCCUGGAUGAAGACCUCUACUAGCUUACUCUCCUUCAUUGAAGGCUUUACCUUGGCGGCCUGUUCACGCCACCUUAUCGCGUAUUCUCUAAAGCCUUCAGUGCUUUUCUUCUUCAUGUUGACCAAGGAUUUUUCGUCCGAAAUUAGGUCAACGUUAUACUGAAAAUAUUGUACAAACUCAGAAGCUAAGUCAUCCCAGUUGUUCUACUUGUCGAUAUCUUGAUCGACAAACCAUUCUAAAGCCAUAUCAGAAAGACUCUCGCCAAAGAAAGCCAUAAGCAACUCUUUCAUUCCCCCUGCAGCCCUCAAUUGGUUGCAAUAACGUCUAAAGUAUGCCAUGGGAUCACCAUGCCCAGCAUAUUUCUCAAACUUGGUCAUUUUAAAACUGAAGGAAAGGUUGACGUUUGGGAACAUGCAAAGAUCUUUAUAGGAAACAUUCUUAUAACCUCCGAUUCCCUACAUAUUCCUCACGGCCUGUUCCAAACUUUUUAAUUUCUGCACUAUGACUUUCUGUUCCUCUGUUGCGAUGGGUUUCUCUGUAUCAAAUGGAAAUGCAGGUGGCUGAGUGUACCCAUACGGUUCAUUCAUUCUCAUAGUAGGAUCCGGGGCAUAAUACUAACUAUCUGGAACCUUCAAUACUGGAUCACUGGCAGACCGAGGAAGCCCCAUUGUCGGAUGCACAGCAUAUGUGGGAGCUUUAGGUGGUGACAGAGCCACGAACACUGGUGUAAUCCGUGGCGCCGGUUGAGCAGCGGGUCUUGGUUAGGGAGAUGCCAAGGGCACAUUAGAAGUGCCAGGAAAAUAAUGUCGCGGAGUGAAUCCUGGCGCGUGCUCAGGUGACUCAGUGGGAGCAGAAAAUUACGCCUGAGAAAGCGGUGGGCAAUUAGAAAUAUUCCCAAGACCUUCAGGGAGUGGAGGAUGAGGCAUGCUACUAGCCCAUGCUUGGUGUAAAUCCAUCAAUUGUUGCCUGAGCCUUGCUACCUCAUCAUUGCGUUCUGAACUUUCUUCCCUGGGAUCCUGAUCUGGGUCAAUGAGUGAAUUUUUAAUCUCCCUGUUAGCCAUGGAGAGCUUUGCUUUUGAUCUAGUGAAGUACGGGUGACUAGCCAGAGUGCUGCAAACCUACCACUAUUAUCUGAAAGAACAUGCUCAUCAAAGAUGACACUCGUUAGGAUUAGGGCACACAACAAACAUGGGAAUCACAUUGGUAAAAUUAUCCUAGAUUCAUGUUCAUUUCUACCAGCCUUUGAGGGUAGCGAGGUCAUUUUAACAUCAUUCCGAUUUUCAUAUACACUCAUUUGAUUCUUUCCUCCAAACACACCUCCUUUCUUGCGCCCUCAUUUUCCUUUUUUUUAUCAGUCUCUAUUCUUUCCUUUUCUCAUCUUAUCAUCCUUUCUUUCUUUUCUUCUUUGUCUAUCUAUCUUCAUUUUAUCAUUCUUUAUGGCUUUUGCUUUUCUUUAAAAGAGGAAAAAUAAUGAAAAACAAUGAAACAAAAUGAUUAGACUGAACCCAAAAGUAGGUUGCCUACGUAUCAUGUUGUACAUGAAUCAUAUCUUGCGUAGUUCGGCCCGCUUAGGCAUAAAUACCAGUUUGAUUUUGAUGAUUUUUUUUUUUGAAAAACCAACAAAAGAAAGAACGACGUAACAUCACAACAUUUUGGUAAAGGAAACAACUAAACAUACUUCAAAUUUAGGACCAAUUUAAAACUAAACAACAAAUACAAAUCAACAUUCUAGACCCCUAAGAUGACAUACGUGAAAUUACUAAUAAAGACCCUAAUAUCAAAAACAACAUGACUCCGACUUAACACAGACACCACCCUACAAUGACAGAAACAUAAAAGACUCAAACUAAAUAAAGAUAAGAAAUGCUCUUUCAAACUAGUGCUCUGUGUGCGUCCCUGGCUGAGAUACCCGUCUGUGAAGUCCCCACUUCUCCAUUCAAACUCUGUAACAUAUCCUGCAAUGUAUCUCUGAUGCUUGGGAAGAAGCUCCUAGAACGUAUUCCUGCCUCAUGGGGAGUACGCCCGAAAAGACUGUUUUGAUAUCCUUCGACAGUUAUAAGCAAACUUGAUAGCCGAACCCUCAGUUCCUCCACUUGGCCCCUAUACUUUCAUUCUGACAGUCAUCAAUUAUACAUUCUUCCUAUAUUCUCUCUCUAAGUUACACUGGCAAUGGUCUACUGAUACCCCGAGGAAUAGAUUGUAGCAAAAUUUCAUAUCUCGGAGUGUAUCCUAGAUUAUCCCAACCUGCUUUGAGAGAAUCUACGCCCAUUUUCAUUGAAUUAAGCCAGAAUUGCUCAUAUCUGAUUUCCCCUUUGGCUAUAUUCUUAAAAUACUCGACAUCCUUUUGAAGAUCCAUUAUUAUUGGAAUGUCUUGAAGUCUACCCAAUUGACGCAUUACCCUACUUAGACUGUAAGGUCUAGUACAUUUCAGCCCAAUCAAAACAAGAAGAGGUUGCAUGCGACAUCCAGACAAGAUUACUUUCGGUUUAAGCCAACGAUAAGUCUAGAGGAUAUUGUCAUGAGUUCUUGCUUCGAGAAAUUUGACCCAAGCAUUGACUUUCAUAGGCAACGAGAACUUAUCAAAACACAUUCUUUGUUCGAUGGCAUUCACUCGCUCGUUCAAAUAACAAUCAAUCACAUCCGGUCUAACCAAAGAAGGACUGUGGAAAUGUUCUAUCAUCCAUAAUUGUAGUAUCAAAUUGCUUUCUUCAAAAAAUUGCAGCCCCCAUCUUACCUCGGUCAAAGCCUUAUACAGUUCCACCAAAAUCAUAGGUAUGAUAGUAACUCCAUCCUUUUUCUUGAACAAAGCCAUCACUACUGAUUGUAAACGAGUGUUGAUACGACUUUCAUCUAACGGGAACACUAAAGUACCUAACAAUGCCAAACAGAAAACCUCAAGACAUCGUUUCUCCCAAUUCUUCUUGGUAGUACAAAAUUCAUCCCAAAAGUGAUCAAAACCAUCUAGAGGCCCGAAUCUAGCGAACAAAUAAUCUAAGGAAAUCCAAGAUUAUUUCAGGAACCCUAGGUGAUCAUUAGCCUUCAAACCGCAAAGCUCGAGAAAUCUCCUGCUACAAUGAUUUCGAUCUAGGAUUAACUUCUUACUGAUAUAUGGCAAAUGAAACAGACCAAAUAUUUCUGCCAAGGUAGGCGUCAUAUUCACAACUCCCGGACCUAAACACCAAGCUGUCUGAAUCCCAGAAGGUCGAUGCGGCCUCUAUCAGAUCUGGUCGGGGUGUGAUAUUCAAAAGUGAUGUAAGAUUGUCGAAUAAUUUUUCUAUCUCAUGCCUUUCAGAAUAGUUGAGCAUAUCCCACCAUUUGAUUAACUUUUUGGGCACCUUGGAAACCAUCAAGACUCUAGACCCUGUGGACGGCUCCAUCCUGUAACAAUACACAGAAUUAUGACUCACGGUUCAAUAAGGGCAAGAGGAUUCCCGACCCUCGAGAUUUUGACACAAAGAAGUGUCACAUGACACAGGGACAAGCCGACCUAUAAUUCAAAAUUGCCGAAUGGAAACGCUAAGAAAACUCAACCUAGCUAGCUAUGACCACUAACAAAUACUUGACUAAACAGAAAAUGGACCUUAACUAGGACUAGGACAACAAUCGAACUUAAGAUUACCGAACCCACCGAGGGUUGCCUACAUAUCCCGCCUCGAGAGACGAGAAUCAGGUAUGCGUAGUUCGUGAAGUCUUGCAAAAAUGGACAAUUAAACUCUUUUUUCUUUCUUUUUCUUUUUCUUGAAACUUUAAAAAAGAAAAUAAUAUAACAAAUUGUCAAAAGAAUUGACUAAAAACUUUUGAAUUUUUCAUCUUAACAUCCCUGUACAAAAUGACAUCUACGAUCACCAAUUUUUUUAUUUUUUUUUUGAAUUUUUGAUUUUCAAAUUCAUACAGAAAUAAAACUUGAACCUAUUAAAGAAUUUUUUUUUUUGUAGUUUUCUUUUAAAAAUGUAUAUGAAACACCUACUCUAAAUAAAGAGUGAAGAAAAGCUUUUUUGAUUUUUCAAAUAAGAUCAACCAAAAAUAAAACCUACAACUAUUAAGGAAAAUCUUUUUGUAGUUUUCUUUUCGAGGCAUAUGCGAAACACCUACUCUAAAUAAAGAGUAAAGAAAAUAUUUUUGGAUUUUUCAAAUAAGAUCAACCAAAAUUGAAACCUACAACUAUUAAGAAAAAUCUUUUUGUAGUUUUCUUUUCGAGGCAUAUGUGAAACACCUACUCUAAAUAAAAAGUAUAGAAAAUCUUUUUGGAUUUUUCAAAUAAGAUUCUCGAACCAACAAUAGGUUGCCUAUGUAUCUCACUCUCGAAAGAGGAGAAUAAGGGGUGCGUAGUUCGUCCAAAUUGGACAAUUAAGGAUUAUAGAACAAACAAUGCCUUGACUUGAGAGACACGACUGCACGAUGAAAAAAAUAAAAUCUUUUUGGGCUUUUAAUUUGACACUUCAUACAAAAAUGACACCAACAACUAUGAGAGAAAAAUAUUUUUAAAAUUUUUUUAAUUAUGAAUGCAUGGUAAAGGAAUAAAAGGAAAAUCUUUUUGAUGUUUUUUUUUUUUGAGAAAAUAAGUACGAAAGUUAAAAAAAUCUUUUUUGAAUUUUUGGAUUGUGAAAAAAAAAAUCAAAAGCCAUAAACUCUAAAAACUUACGAAACACUCUUUUUUUCUUUCCGACUCACUUUUUUUUUCUAUUUUUUUUUCAACAUUUCUUGCCUACGCACUUUACCUCUAACACAUGCUUUCCCCAAAUCAGUCCGUCAAAUAACCAUGUUACCCUUAAAGAUGCAACAUUUAUCACGUAGGGAUUCUUUAGAGGUGAGUCUCCUACAAAAGGCCACGCGGGUCCCGCUAGGUCUUGAUAUGAUGUAAAUAAGCAUGACCUAAAGGCUGACCUACGCUGGAGUUCACUAACAAGGCUGUUCAGGGGAGCGUAUGAUCGACAGUGACUGCGACAGCUUUCCACCCACUCCAUACGUCCGACGGCUCCCCCUCCUAAAAUAAGGGUGACUCAACUAGAGUUCGUGUACACAACGUGCACUCCGAGACUUGUUGAGGAAAGAAUGACUUGGGUUAUGCACAUGAUGUCAGGUAUAAAGCGGUAACACAUAAAGAAAGACUGUAAACAAAGAGCACGUAAACACACAACAGUGAUAACAACGACACAAACCAAAACACGAACAAUGUUUAUACACCUAUAAUGCCAAACAAGCCAAUACGACUCCAAAAAAUAAGCUCAAAUUCAAAAAAAAUCCCCAGCAGAGUCGUCAGGGCUGUCACACCCCUUUUUUUACAACCAAAAAGAUAUGGUUUUAAGUUCGAAAGGGUUUUUAUUAUUAAAGUGACAAAAUAAAGAUUUGUUUCAAAAAAAGAUUAUUUUUACAUUCAAAAAUCAGAGUCACCUCUUGCCAGAAUUCGGUGUGCCAAGUCACCUUUGAAAAAUCUUUUUCAAAAUAAUUUUGACUCUAAAAGACUGGUUUGCGAACAGAGAUUUCGACUAAAGAAUUCUGUUGACCGAGGGGAAGGUGUUAGGCACCCCUCGAUCCAGUGGUUUAACCGCGGUCGCUUGGUUGAGAGUAUCGACUAAUUUGACACCAACUAGUGUUUAAACCACACAAAAACACGUGAAACAAUCAAUCAACAUGUCAAACAAAAUGAAUCCCAAAAAAUAUAAAGCCCAGUCAAAUUAUACAGUCCCGAAAUAAAAGAAAAUGCAAAAAUAUAAACCUACUCUAUUCUACGUUAAUCCUAAACUAUGCUCCAUUGCUUUCUCCACCUACCGCCUCGGGCCUUCUCUCGAAUGUCCUCCGGGUACAAAACAUUUUGGGGCAUUCCCCGGCGAAUAAACACAAAUACCUCGGGGUAUUCUCUGGUCAAAUAGUACAUUUUAAUCCAAGUGCGAUAAACUAGAAAACAUUCAACAAAUAUUUCAUAUUCAAACAUUCAACGCAAGCACUUAUUCCUAAAUUUUGCCUACCCAAACCUAUAUUGCUUAUCCAUUUUAACAUGUCAUAAAGCUAACAUAUUCAUGCUUAUCCCGAAUUUAACAAAACAACAAUGGACCAAGAUUUAACUACAUUCAACUUUUAUCCAUUUCUCCAUUCCCGCCCCCAAACUUCAUUUUAUCAAUCAUGCCAUCAAAAUUAUCCCAAUUAGUUUCACGUAUCAUCGAAAUCACGUAGUCAAGCACAUAACCAUAACAUUAUAAUAUCAACAAAAUCCAACGACCAUGAUCAUACCACACAUAUUCGCAACCAAUUCAACAAAUUGAAAUAAAGAGAAGAGAUCGAGUUAAAGAAAAUAGACCUUUCGACAAUCUGAUCUUUGUUAAUAAUAAGAAAACCUGGACUUGGAAUUUCGAAUAGAACCUCAACGGCGACGAAUCCAACUCGAAUAGAAAUAGCAAUCUAAACUGAAGCCUCAAAUGACCUGACGGAAGACCAAAUAUGAUGUAAUCUGAGUUCCGAUGAACUCAAACGGGACAACAAACAAAAAAUCCCAAAAUAGAUUCCAGCGAACCUCACUAUUUCAAGAUGGAUUCAGCUAAAAAUCAGUGGAAAACAGAAAAAUAUUGAGAAUUUCGAACCGGGAUUGUUGAACGAACAAAAUCGGGCAAACGUUGAUGAGAAUUCUAACUAAGUAAUCGCUGGAACAGUGACCAAAUCCACCGACCCGUUUCUAAGUAACCCGAAACCAGUCCCGUUUUCUUAUCCAUUUUAGACUUCAACCUCAAAACCCUUUCUCUCUUUUUUCGUUCAGCUUACUUUCUCCCCGAUCUGGACUUUUCAGUGUGUGGUGUGUGUGAUUUUGUGCCUUGUCUCUAUGUAUGUGCGUGUAUAUGAUGGUGUAUCGAUGUGUGUGUGCUCAAAAAUGAAAAAAAAUGGAGGAAAAUGGAGCUCUGGGUACGUGAAGUGAGGAAGAGCAGAAAACAAUCCUAUCUCCUAUGCUUUUCGUGUGAAGAUCAUAAAAAAAUGAGUCCCCCCUCUAUUUUUUUGAAGAAGAAGAGAUCCAAAAAAAUGAUGACCCCUCCACCCUCUCUUUCUCUCUCUCGUGUAUAUAUCUAUUGUAUCAAACCAAUCCCCAUCAAAUGUUCCCCCCUUUUUUUUCGUUUUCCUUCUUCACAUCUCCCUUUUAUGUGAUGAAAUUCCUUUUCCUAUUCAUCUCCUGGACCAUCCAGGAAGCUUCCUUUUUUUGUGCCCCCCUCCCUUUUUCUUUUAUAAAUUGAUCUCUCCUUGAAUAAGACGUGAGGGGUGGGGGUCAUAUGGGGUGAGGUGUCAUUUUUUAAUUGGAGGGGUAAGGGUUAGGUGUAUAUUUUUGAUUGGGUGCGUUGUUGGAAUCUUUAAGAUAAGACAAAAUUAGUUAGGGUUUGUUAUUUGGAUAAAAACAAAAGGGAAUAAAUAAAUAAGUAAAAGAUGAGGUGGUUAUUCAUUUAUUUAUUUUUUGAAGAAAAUUAUAAGAUGGGAUCAAAGUGCGUGAUAACGGAGUAAAGAUUAUUUUUGAUAGGACAAAAUUACGUGUCUACAAGAUGAAGUUGGAGUUGAGUUAUGUUUGGCCAUAAAUAUAAAUUAAAGUUGUUUUUGAAAUUUUGUGAGAGAAGUAUGAGAGAAGUUGGAGUGAAAACUUGUUUUCACUUUUCCAAAUAAUUUUUCGAAAUUGGAGUUGGAAAAUUCAUGACCAAACACAGCGUGUUUUCACUUUUUUCACUAAAGUGAAAUAUUUUUUUGGAAAAAAGGAAAAAAAUUCUAUGGCCAAACGGCUACUAAAUAUCUUCGUUAUCUUGUCCUACAUAUGUGGAAACUGGAGUAAUUUUCAUGUAUAGUCAUCCAUAUUUUCACAAUUGCCUAUAAAUGUCUUUUUUUUUUUUUUAGAAAAAAAUAUCACCCAACUAUCCCUAUUUUCCUACAAAAAUACUUGACACUUCAUAAACAUUUCUUCUCUCCUAGUUUGCAUGCCUUGUGAUUAAAAUUUCUUUUUUAUAUAUAAGAAAUAGAUCUAUUUAACUUAUCAAACUUAUUUAAUUAAAAUUUGGUCUUAUUUAUUUUAAAAAAUAAAUACACAUGAUAUAUUUAUUAUUGAAGAAUAAUUAAUUAUUUACUUUAAACUUUAUAUUUGUUUUGUCUUUCUUACAAAAAUAGAAAAUAAACUAUAUUUAUUCUUUAUUCAAUAUGAAAAAAAUUACAUCACAUGAUAAAAAUAUUAGAUAAUCACAUAAUUUAAAAGAAAAUAAAUCCUCUAAUAAUGCUAUGCACAUUACUCAUUAAUGAAGUAGUUGAUGUGUCCAAGUGUACACAUAAAACUAAAGGAUUGAAUUAUUUUAUUUGUUACUUUUCAAAAUUUUUAAAAUUUAUUUUAUUUUACCACUAAUAAUAUUUUUAAAACUUAAGGUAUUUAUAUGAAUUGAUACUAAUUUAAUAUUUUUUUGUUAUUUAUUUUAUAUACUAAAGAUUCUUAAAAUGUAAAAGAAAUGAAAGUGAUAGCUUUCAUAUUUUCGUAUACGUAGUAACUGUACUAUUUUUGAAGGAAAGAAAAUUAUUUAGUCAUGAAAUAAAUUUUUUUUUAAAUAUUAACAAAAUGAUCUAAUAUUACAAAUGAAUCUUUGAAAUAGUACCCAACCAAUUAUCGCUUGCUUUCUGUGAGUUUAGUAUGAAGAGAGGAUAUAAAUUGGUGUUUAAUUAAGAUGAAACAUAGUAUAAUAGAAACAAAAAAUGAAAUGAAAUAAACAAAAUUAAAAAUAAUAAAAUUUCUAUCUUGUAAAGUUUUUGCCAUGUUAACUUUGCGGAUUUACUUGAUUUAUUUAUAAAAUUUACUUGGAAAAAAUUCGCAAGAUGAAUCCAUUUUUUUAUUAUCUUUUUAUCAAAAAGAUCUUGUUUGAGAUUUGCAGGUGAUCUACAUAAGAAUUAAAAAUUUUAGGUGACAAUUACCUUAAGAUUUUUCUAUUGAAUUUUGCUUGACAAAAAAAGUUCUAAGAUUUUCUCCUUCAAAUUUUUUUUAUAGAAAAAUUUGUAGGUUUUUCAUCGAAUUAGUUUGAUUGAAAAACUUGUAGAAAAUUAGAUUAUCGGUAAAUUCUUUUGCAAAUUCUACAAAAAGAUUAAAAUAUUACGUAAUUUAGAUUUUUCUUGUAGUUUAUAAGACGUGGGUUUGAAUUAAAGAACUUGAAGAACUAAAUAGGUUUAUAAUUAAGAAAAUAAAAGAUUUUAACUACAUGGCAUGCCAAGUAGGAGUUAAGUGUUAUGAUAUAUAUCAAUUAUAGUGAAACUAUUUGAUGUCUAUCUGGAUUUGAUGUAUUUGUCUUUUAGUGUGAAACUAGGGUCAAAUUCUCCUAUAAAUAGAAGGGUUUCCUUCAUUGUAAUCAUCCCCCAAGAGAAGAAAUAAGAAUUACUCUCUCUACUCUUCUUUUUUGUUUUAUAACACGUUAUCAGCACGAGACUCUACCGUCUCAAAUUUGAAGGCUAAGGUUAAGGUAUUAUUAUUUUUCUUCCCUUUUUCCAUAUGGCUAACAAUCUUACGAAGUGUGAGUUCGUUGCCCUUCAAAGUUCGAGCAAGAACUAUAUUUCAUGGGUGUUGAAUGCUGAAAUCCACCUAGAUGUUAUGGGUCUUGGAGAUGCCGUAAAGAAUGAAAAUACAACAUCUAGUCAAAAUCGUGCUAAGGCUAUGAUUUUCUUGCGUCAUCAUCUUGACGAAGUUCUGAAAAUUGAGUACCUUACUACUAAGUUUCCACUCGUAUUAUGGAAUAGCCUAAAAGAAAGGUUUGACCACUUAAAGAUGGUCAUCCUCCCAAAAGCACGAUAUCAGUGGAUGCAUCUAAGAUUUCAAGACUACAAGUCUGUUCAUGAAUACAAUUCUGCCAUGUUCAGAAUUUCUUCUCUAUUGAAACUUUGUGGAGAGACGGUCAAUGAUAAUGAUAUGAUGGGAAAAAUGCUCUCCAUUUUUCAUGCCUCGAAUGUGCUAUUACAGCAGCAAUAUUAAGAAAAAGGUUUCAAGAAGUAUACUGAACUGAAUUCUCAUCUUCGUGGUUGAAAAAAAUAAUGAUUUGUUGAUGAAAAAUCACGAGAACCGAUCAACUGAAUCUGCACCAUUCCCUGAAGUGAAUGAUGUGCACGCUCACCAUGCUAGGCGUGGAAAAGGUCGCGGUCCUGGUCGUGGACGUGGUCACAAUGACCAAGAAAGAAACCCUGUUCCGGGUGUUAAUCACUGAUCAAACAAAAAAAGAAAAGAUGAGAAACGUGAAGCAGUUACUUAUUUCCGACGUGGCAGAAAAGAACAUUAUUCACGUGAUUGUCGUGCUCUCAAGCACUUGGUUGAUCUUUAUCAAGCAUCAUUAAAAAAGAAAGAGAGAAAUCCUGAGGCUAACUUUCUCUUUGAAAAUGCUAGUGACAUCACAAGCUUGGAUGUAGCAAACUUCUUUGAGCAUCCUGAAGGAAAGAUUGAUCACUUGAUUGGUGACGGUUCCGUAAACAUGGAAGAAUGAAUGAUCUUUAAUUUUGUUUUAUUUUUUUAUUGAUAAGAGUUAGUAAAUAAAAAAAAAGCAUGUAAAAAUAGUUGUUUGCAUGAGUAUUAAUUUUUGAUUAAUUUAAUUAUAUUAUUGGUGUUUAUUAUUGAAUUGAAUUGAAUUUUAAUUUUAUCAUUAUUUAUUGAAAAAAAAUAUACAUUAAUAAAAGCUAGGCGCUGCAAAAGAAAAAAUGAUUGGUUAAUGGCAUUUAUGUUAAAAUCUGAUAAUCUGAUCCACCAAAUCUUAUAUUCCUAAUGGCAUUUAUGUUUUCAAUAACACAUUGUGAUAAUAUAAUGUUUUUAUUUUCAAUAAAAGUACAUAUCAAAUUUCAGUACUGUGUAUGUUGAUUACAAAUGCAUAAUAUUUUAUCAAACAAAACAUUAUUUUUUCCAUUAGACAAGUUAAUAAAUAUGUGUGUAGAUAGUUGACAGUUAAUGGCAUAUGAAUUUCCUGCAAUAUUUAUUUUCAUUAAAUUAUACAUAAUAAUAUUAGUGAUCACUGUUGUACCUUUACGAAAGGAGAAUCAAUAUAUAAGCUAUUAAAACUAUUAGAACUAAAUAAUGAAGUUUUUACGUGUUAAUAAUUAUAUAGCUUAGCAUGACUUUAAUAUUUCAUAGCACAUGUAUUUUAAGUAAACUAUUAAAAACUAUUGAAAAAUAAAAUGCUAAGCUAAGCUAAGCUAAUCACGUAUUAAUUGAAUAUUUUAUUUAAUUGCUUAGUACAGUGAGACUAACAAUUUCUUAUUGUAUAAGCUUCCACUUUGUACAAAAUAUUUAAUAUAUAUUUUAUUUGGUGUAUGUCAUUUUAUUUGAAGAUAUGGAUAAUUUUCAAAGUAAGUUGUCCAAUUGUGAAGAUAUUUGUUUGAUUGAUUCUGGCACUACACAUACGAUAUUUAAAGACGAGAAAUAUUUCUCUCAUCUAAACAUGGGCAAGAUUAAUGUUACUACAAUUGUGGUAGUGCUAAUUUGAUUGAAGGCUUCGGAAAAGCCAUUAUAAUCUUUCCUAAGGGAACUAAACUCAUCAUAAAUAAUGCUAUGUUCUCUCCCAAGUCUCAGAGAAACUUGAUGAGUUUUAAAGAUAUCCGUGAAAAUGGUUAUCAUAUAAAGACAUUUGAUGAAAUGAAUCUUGAAUAUCUUAGUAUCACCAAGAAUGUAUCUGGCCAGACAUGUGUUAUAUAAAAGUUCCCUGCUUUAUCUUCUGGCCUGUAUUGGACAAAGAUUUGUCCAAUUGAGGUACAUUCUAUUGUACAUCGGAAGUUUACUGAUUUCAAUACUUCGUACUUUGGCAUGAUCGUCUGGGACAUCCAGGAUCAAUAAUGAUGAGACGAAUAAUAGAAAAAUCAAAUGGGCAUCCAUUAAAGAACUUGAAGGUUUUUCGAAUGGUGAAUUUUCAUUUAUGCUUGUUAUCAAGGCAAGCUAAUUGUGAGACCAUCGCCAAGAAAAGUUGGGAUUGAGUCCCCCAUGUUCUUGGAACGCAUACAUGGGGACAUUUGUGGACCAAUUCACCCACCAAGUGGGUCUUUUAGAUACUUCAUAGUCCUAAUAGAUGCUUCUUCUAGAUGGUCUCAUGUGUGCCUUUUGUCAUCUCGCAACUUGGUAUUUACAAAAUUGUUGGCACAAAUAAUACGAUUACGAGCUCAAUUUCCUGAUAAUCAAAUUAAGUUUAUUCACCUUGAUAAUGCUGCAGAAUUAUCAUCCCAAGCAUUUAAUGACUAUUGUUUAUCGAUCGAGAUAAGAGUGGAAUAUCCUGUACCCUAUGUUCACACUCAAAAUGGCCUUACUGAGUCAUUAAUUAAACGUCUGCAUUUGAUAGCAAGACCAUUACUGAUGAAAACUAAGUUGCUCACUUCUUUUUGGAGUCAUGCAAUUUUGCAUGCUGCAAUACUUAUUUGUCUUAGACCGACAAAUUAUCAUAAAUUUUCUCCGUUGCAAUUGGUUUUAGGUCAAGAGCCUAAUAUAUCUCAUCUGAGAAUUUUUGGGUGCGGUAUUUAUGUGCCGAUAGCACCACCAAACCGCAUCAAGAUAGGCCCCCAAAGAAGGUAAGGAAUUUAUGUUGGGUUUGAAUCACCCUCUAUUAUUCGUUAUCUUGAACCAUUAACGGAAGAUAUGUUUACUGCUCAAUUUGCAGAUUGUCGGUUUGAUGAGAUACUUUUUCCAAAAUUAAGGGGAGAAGAUAGUGACAUUAAAAGAGAAAUUUUGUGGAAAAAUUCAUCGCUGUCUCAUCUUGAUCCACGUGCUUCUAUUUGUGAGCAAGAAGUACAAAAGAUUAUUCAUCUGCAGAGAAUUGCAAAUCAAAUGCCGGACGCAUUUACAGAUUUGAAAAGGAUCACUAAAUCACAUAUUCCCGUAGAGAACCAUUCACUAGUGUCAUAGCUAAUGAAUCUAAAGCACGCUUGAAGCGUGUCAGACCAUUAGGUUCUACAAAUUGAAAUCCUAGAAAAAGAAAAAUAAAUGGUCAAGAUGACACUACGAAAGAUCCACAUACGGAAGUUCAAGAUUUGAGCAAUGUUGAUAUCCCUGAAGGAAUCAAUGAGACUGAGACUCAAGAAAAUAAGAAACUAUCCAUAAAUUCAAGUGAUAUUGAAACUAAUAUGAAUAGAUUUGAAAUAGUAGUGGAUCAUGUCUUUACAUAUAAUGUUGCAACAAAAAUCAUACAAGAUAGCGAGGAUCUUGAACCUCGAUCUGUCACAGAAUAUCGACAAAAAAAUGACUGGCCAAAAUGACAAGAAGCAAUUCAAUCUGAAUUGAAAUCGCUCGCUAAACGUGAAGUUUUUGGACCCAUAGCUCAAACACCUAAUGGUGUUAAGCCUGUUGGCUAUAAAUGGAUCUUUGUGCGAAAAAGAAAUGAAAAAAAUAAAAUACAAAGAUAUAAAGCAUGCCUUGUUGCACAAGGAUUUACACAACGGCCUGGUGUCGAUUAUGAUGAGACGUAUUCACCAGUUAUGGAUGCAAUAACAUUGCGUUAUCUUAUUAGUUUCACUAUCCAUGAGAGACUUAAAAUGCAUUUGAUGGAUGUGGUAACAGCCUAUCUAUAUGGAUUACUUGAUAAUGAGAUAUACAUGAAAAUUCCCGAAAGAUUUAAAAUACCGAAAGCAUAUAGUUCAAAACCUCGAGAAAUGUAUUCCAUUAGAUUGCAAAGAUCAUUGUAUGGUUUGAAGCAACCUGGACGCAUGUGGUAUAACCGUCUUAAUGAAUAUUUAUAUAAAGAAGGUUAUACGAAUGAUGAAAUUUGCCCAUGUGUUUUCAUAAAGAAAACAACAUCGGAGUUUGUUAAACUUGUUGUCUAUGUCGAUGACAUAAACCUUAUUGAAACGCCAAUAAAGCUUCAAAAGGCAAUUGAUUACCUAAAGAAAGAGUUUGAGAUGAAAGAUCUCAGAAAGACAAAGUUAUGCCUUGGUUUGCAAAUUGAGCAUUUGACAAACGGUAUCUUCGUCCAUCAAUCUUCCUACACAAAAAAGGUGUUGAAACGAUUCUAUAUGGAUGAAGCAUAUCUAUUAAGUACUCCGAUGGUUGUUCGAUCACUUGAUGUGAAUAAGGAUCCAUUCCGACCUCUAGAAAAGAAUAAGGAACUCCUUGAUCCUGAAAUACCAUAUCUUAGUGCAAUUGGUGCACUAAUGUAUCUUGCAAAUACUACAAGGUCUGAUAUUGCCUUUUCAGUAAAUUUGCUAGCAAGGUAUAGUUCUACUCCUACUAGGACACAUUGAAAUGGGACCAAACACAUAUUACGGUAUCUAAAGGGGACUGUCGAUAUGGGCUUAUUUUAUUCUAAAGAUUGCAAUUCCGAUCUUGUUGGUUAUGCUGAUGUGGAUACUUAUUCGACCCGCAUAAAGCUCGAUCUCAAACAGGCUAUGUAUUCAUAUGUGGGGGCACUGUCAUAUCUUUGAGAUCAAUAAAGCAGUCUAUCGUAGCCACUUCAUCGAAUCACGUUGAGAUUAUAGCUAUUCAUGAAGCAAGCCGAGAGUGUGUGUGGUUGAGGUCCAUAAUACAUCUCAUUCAAGAAAAAUGUGGAUUGAAAUGUGACAAAGUACCCAUAAUUUUAUAUGAAGAUAAUGCAGCAUGCACAACACAACUGAAAGGUGGAUUCAUAAAGGAGAUAGAACGAAGCACAUUUCGCCAAAGCUCUUCUAUACACAUGAGCUCCAAAAGAAUGGUGAUAUUGGCAUACAACAGAUUCGUUCAAGAGACAAUGUGGCUGAUUUAUUCACCAAAUCUCUUUCAACUGCAACUUUCAAGAAGAUGGUGCAAAAGAUCGGAAUGCAAAGGUUCAAGGAUGUUCUUAUUAGGGGGAGCUAAUACGCGUUGUACUCUUUUUCCCUUACGAGGUUUUAUCCCACUGGAUUUUCCUUGUAAGGUUUUUAAUGAGGCAGCCUAUAUGCGUAUUGUUAGACAUUCAAGGGGGAGUAUUAUGAUAUAUAUCAAUUCUAGUGAAUGUCUAUCAAGGCAAAUUCCCCCUAUAAAUAGAAGGGUUUCCUUCAUUAUAAAUCAUCUAUCAAGAGAAGAAAUAAGAAUUACUCGCUCUAUUCUCUCUACUCUUCUUUCUUGUUUUAUAACAUUAAGAAGGUUUCUAAAGUGUUAAGUAUUUUUUGAAGAAAAUGAGAAAAAUUAGAUAAUAUCCUUGUCCUAAAAAAAAAUAUUUAUAGGCAAGUGUAAAAAUAUGGAUGACUAUCCAUGAAAAUUACUCUGAAACUACUACUAAUGAAACAAACAAAUUUUGGAUAACACACCGAAGGCAUCGUUAUCUAAAUAACUUUAAAAAAAAGAGGAGGUACCAAAAGCAGCUUUGAUUGCUUGAUAUUAUUUUUUAACUUAACUAAAGCUAUAAUGAGUCACCAAUUAUGACAACGAUGCUUCCCCGUUCACAAACAGCUUUUACUAAGAAGAAACAGGUUAAGAUAAUAAGACUCUAUACUGUCUUGUACCACUGAUUGCUGCCAGUAUAUUCCUUUUUUGUUAAUCCAGUAUGUUUUUUUUAUGUUUUAUUAAUAUAGACAACACAAUUAUAUGCCAAAAUUAAUCGUGUACAACUCAUGCCAAACUAAAAAUUAACAAAGCUACAAAAUUUGGUUUCAGUCUUUUUCGAUAUUCUGCCAUCAUUUCAUUCGUAAGGGAGAAAGUUGUGGGAUCUACCAAGGACAUGUGAUGAAUAUAUUGUUUCUUUGUCCAUGAUUUUUUUUUGGAACUUUCCUUUGCAUAUUAGGAGAGAUACCAUAAAAAAUAAGGAUGUUUGCGACAAAGUGAAAAUAACUUUGGGGAAAGACAUAAUGUGGAAAACAAGGCUCAAUUAGAUAAUUUGGACCAAGAAGUGCUGGGGCGGUGAUUAGACAAAAUACGAUGUAGAUCAACUUAUUGAGGAAAUGAAAUUAGAUAAGAAUUUGUGAAGUUGGCAGACCAGAACAGAAGAUUAGUAGGUAGUGCAUUACUAGUAGUCAUAGUAUCGAUCAUGUAGUCUCCUGCCUUCAAUUUAUGUUACUUUAUGUUGUUCUUGUACUUCAAUUUUCAUACUAUUUUAUUGCAGUUGCUGUUGAGCAUAUUUUGUUAUGCUUUUACUUCAAUCACUUCUUUUGGAUCAUUUUUUCUUAAGCUAAGGGCCUAUCGAAAAGAUAGAAAUAACCUUUUCUAAGGUAAAAGUAAAGUCUGACGACCGUACCUCAUAAGGCUAUACUGCAUAUGUUAGACUUUCCUUUGCAUCUUACUUUUAAUUGCAUAAUGGAAUAUAUAUAUAUAUUAUAGACAAUAUUAAAAGUGUAAAUACAAUUAGAAAAGUGAUUUGAACUUUUUGGCCUUCAUUAAAGACUUUUCUUUUGACAAAACUGUUUUUCACUAUUUUUUUAUUUAUUAUUUAAUUAAUUUUUAUUAUAUUAACUAGACUUUCUAAAAUAUAUGAUAGGAGAAUUAAUUAAUAUUUUUUCUACUAGACUUCCUAAAAUAUAUGGUAGGAGAAUUAAUUAAUAUUUUUUUCUACUGUUCAAUUAGAAAAAUAUUCUUAAAAUAAGACUCUAUUAAAGAAAUAUUUCUAUAAAUAUUGAGAUGUGUGUUAAACUAGAGAACAAAUCGGUUUGCCUACUGGGAGAAUAUGAUUGAUAUUCAUCUAAUUUAAUUAGAUUGCAUGUCUAAAUUGGUGGAUGCUUGAUUUUCUAACCCUCAACUUAUUCACUGUUUUUGUCAGCAUAAUAGAAUUCAAAAUGUGUGUGUUGGAUUAAAUAUAUAUAUAUACAUACAUACAUACAUACAUACAUACAUACAGUGAAUGGUCAUGAACUUGUUGGACAGCUUGUAGAACUUGUUGGACAGCUUGGUACACCCAUAUCAACAUGUGUGUGUAUAUAUAUAUAUGUCUUCUUUGUUUUCAUGCAAAAUCAUUAUUUAGGGUCAAAAUUUUCGCUCAAUCAAGAAUUAGUUGGAUUAAAAUCGAAGCUUUGUAAUCACUAUUCUAUUUGUUCUUUAUAGUUUACGCGUCAUAGAUGAAUGUCAGUUGACUUUGAAUAAUUUCUUGUAUAAAGGUUAGGUUUAAUUAUAUUAUUUUGAUAUCUUUAUUAUCUUAUUGUUUUAUUUUAAUUUUUAGAUGCUGGAUGAACGUGAGUCAGCUUUGAAUUUUUUUUUUAGGUAAAGGUUAGGUUUAAUUGUAUUAUCGUAAUAUCUCUAUUAGUUUGUUAUUUUGUUGUAGUUUACAGUUCGUAAAUGAAUCUCGAUUGGCUUUGAGAAUUUUUUGUGUAUAAAAUUUAAGUUUAAUUGUAUUGUUUUGAUAUCACUUUUAUCGUAUUAUUUUAUUGCAGUUCACAAUGAUCGAUAAAUGUUGGUCGGCUUUGAGAAUUUUUUUUAUCUAAAGUUUAGAUUUGGUGGUAUUAUUUGAUAUCCCUAUUAUAGUAUUAUUUUGUUAUUGUUUACACGUGGUAGAUGAGUGUCGAACGACUUUGAGAAAAAUAUUUGUGUAUAAAGAUUAGAUUUAAUUGUAUUAUUUUGAUGUCUCUAUCAUUAUAUUUGUUUUGUUGCAAUUUACAGAUGGUAGAUGAAUGUUGAGCGUCUUUUAAAAAUAUUUUUGAUAAACAUUAGGUAUAAUAAAUAAAUUCUCCAUCUUUACAUACAUACUCAAAAGAUAUUAAAUUUAAUCAUUACAUUCAUCUCUAUUAUUUAAAGAAAUAUCUUAUUUAGUGUAAUGUUUGAACUCAUUAAAGUGAGGUACACGCGCAAGGCGCACAAAAUUUAUUUUACACACCUCACGCUUGUAACUCACUUCAAGGAGUUCAAUUUACAAAAUCACUUUGAUCUUAUAAAAGAAAGUAUGCUUGAAUUAAAAAACUAUUUAAUUUAUUAAUAUGAAAAACACUUAAAUAUAAAACUAAGAGAUAUAAAAUACAUAAGAGAGUAUAACGUUAAAUUAACAAUAAAUAUAUAUGAAAAAUAAAUUUGUGUGUUCACGUUAUAUUAUUAAGUACAAAUUUUAAAGAACUUAUGUUAAUUAUUAACCUUAUUGAUGGUAAAUUUGCAACUUUGAUUUUUCGGGUUUAGUAUUAAACCAAAAUGAAUUGUAUUAAAAUUUAGUCAAUUUAAACAAAUUUUUCUUAAUCGUUUGUAUAGAAUCCCUAGUUAAAUAUAUUUAGUUUUUAAAAUAGCAAUUUUUAUACUAAAUCUACAAUUAUUUUGGUUUGUAGAAAUCAUUUAAGGUAAAAUUCUACUUUCUUAACUAAAUCAAUAAAUACUUUAAUUAAUUUCAAAUUCUUAAAUGUUUGAUAUAAUAAUUAUUUAAGAAAAUGGUGAAAAGAUAAUUUUGUUUAUUGCAAAAUCUUUUAAUGAAUGACAAAAAGUUCGAAUCACUUUUCUAAUAGUAGUGCACGUGCUUUGCACGUAUCUCGCACGUGUAAUGUUUGAUUAUUUAAAUUAAAUAAUUUUAUAUAUUGCGGAAAUUUUUAAUGAUGUGUACAAUUUUAAAUCAUUUUUUAAAGAAUUUUCAUACUUUAAUAUAAUAAUGUAAACAUACAUAAACAUAUAUUUUAGUGUAAGCGCACACACACACACACACACACACACACACACACACACACAUAUNNNNNNNNNNNNNNNNNNNNNNNNNNNNNNNNNNNNNNNNNNNNNNNNNNNNNNNNNNNNNNNNNNNNNNNNNNNNNNNNNNNNNNNNNNNNNNNNNNNNNNNNNNNNNNNNNNNNNNNNNNNNNNNNNNNNNNNNNNNNNNNNNNNNNNNNNNCACACACACAUAUAUAUAUAUAUAUAUAUAUAUAUAUAUUAUCACCAGAAGUUUCAAGUGGUUGAUAGAUCAUCACUUUUGCAUUUGUCAAAUAGUAUCUCCUUCCCUUGUUGCCAAAGGCUAUAAGAGAGAUGCAUCAAUUUGAACUAUAUUUGCGGUAUUUUUUUUUUCAUUUUUAAAAUCUUUCCUUGUUUUUAAAGUCAAAUUUUUACAAAAUCAUUGAUUACAUUCUUAUUACGUAAUUAAAACUUCUAAAAAUUUGAUAUAUACUUCUUAAAUUUUUCUUAUUCUAAUGCUUUUAUAUUUAUUUCUAGACUUUUUAAAUCUUCUUAUAAUCAAAUUUAGUCGAUUUAGGUCAAAGCUCAUUGUUUAUUCACAAUUGAAACAGUUGCAUAUAGUCAAAUAUUAAAAAAGAAUUCAUGUAGAAUCAAAAUGACUAACCAAUUUCUUGUGACUGAAUGUAAUGAUCCAAUGAAUUUGUUCAAAUUUAUAAAUAAGUUAAUUUCAAAUUAUUAAUUAUAUAUGCGUCAUUACAAAUAAAAAUCACACACACAAAAAAAUCUCAAUUAACAAUUAUCUAUUAAGAAUACAUGAUAGUUUAUUAUUUUAAACUUCAAGAACAUACUAAAAUUACAAAAUAAAACUUUUCAAUUAGCAAUUAUCGAUAAAAGAUACACGAUAGUUUGUUUUUGUAAACAUAAAAAAAAUAUAUCAAAAUUUUAGAAAGCUUAUCUCAUAUCACAAGUAAAUUUGUCUCGUUAAUGAUAGAUACUAUCAAUAUUUCAAAAAAAAAAAAAAGAUAACUUCUCAGUAAGUAAUUGUCAAUCAAGAAUAUAUGAUACUUUAUUAUUGUAAACUUCAAGAAUACACUAAAAUUUUAGAAAACUUAUCUCAAAGCAGAAAUAGAAAACUUAUCUCAAAGCAGAAAUAAAUUCAUCUCUUUAAUCAUAAAUACUAUCAAGAUUGUAAUUGUCAAGAAUGUGCUGAAAUAUUAGAAAACUUAAAUCAAAUCACAAGUAAACUUGUCUCUUCAAUCAUAAGAUAUAUCAAUAUUUUUAAAAAAGAAAAACUUCUCAAUUAACAAUCGUCUAUUAAAAUAUAUGAUAAUUUAUUUAUUGUAAAGUUCAUGAAUAUACUAAAAUUUUAGAAAACUUACCUCAAAUCACAAGAAAAUUCGUUUCUUCAAUUAAACAAAACAAACAAUAAACUAAACCAAGAAAAAAUUAUCACAUGUUAUAAAGCAAUAUGAAUAUAGCUUAAGGAACUCACCGAGUGAGAAACAUUCAAUUAUAUGGAGAACAAAAAAAAGGAUAUUAAUAAAGUUUUAAACCUUUUUUUUUAGUAUAAAUACUAAUACUAAUAAGUUUCCUACUUAUUCUAUUAUUGUUUUUCCUUUUAAAUUUAUGUUAAUUGAUUCUCUUCUUUAAUAUAAAUAAUAAAAUAUUAAUAAAAAUUUCUACUCCUAAAAUUAUCACUCGUGUGAAGAGCAAAAAGUAGAUUUUUACGCCUAAAAUUAAUACUAAUAUUUAUAGUGAGCUUUGUUAUAAUAAGAUACAGCUUUUAUCUAUGUAAAAUUUCAAUUGAUUAAAAUUAUCUCUUACCAUAUCUCUUUUGGGACUUUUAAUUUAAGAAAAACAUAUAUUUUAAAUUCUUGAUCUUGUAUAUUUUAGGAGACAAUAUUAUAAAUAUAAUUAAAUAAUAAAUUGAAGAAAUAGUGAAAAGAUGAUUUUGUCUAAAGAAUAGACUUUUAAUGAAGGAAAAAAAGUUCAAAUCACUUUUUUAAGGAUUUUCAAACUUGCACGUGAGUCUCACCUUAACUUAUAAAAUUACAUUAAGAAAAUUGUUAAAAAUUAGCAAUUGUUACUAAAAUAAAUAUUACGUACUAUUUUCCAACUCUUAAAUAUUAGGAAUAGUAACGAAAAAAUGAUUUUGUCUAAAGCAACGUUUUUAGCUAAGGACAAAAUAUUUAAACAAUAUUUUUAAAACUCUUCACACUUUUAAUAUAUUAUAGAUAUAGAUUAUAGAUCGAUAGAUAUAGAUAUAGAUUUAGUUUAUAGAUACUUCUUCAAUGCUCUAGACCCACGUGUCAAAAUGGCGCAAACUUAACAUAUUACUUCCUCCGUUUAAAAAAGAAUGACUUACUUUUCUUUUUAGUUCGUUUUAAAAAGAAUGACCCUUUACCUUUUUUUGACAAUACUUUAAUUUCAUUUUUUCAUAGCAUGUUUAGGAACACAAGUUUAAAGGAUAUUUUGGUACAUUUAACACAACUUUAUCUAACGUCACAAGAUUCAAAAGCUUUCUUUAUUUUUUUAAACUUUGUGUCAAGUUAAAGUAGACCAACGUUUUUGAGACGGAAGAAGUACUAAUACCUUGUUUGGUAUUAGUUUAAUGGGCAUUACUAAUACCUUGUUUGAUAUAUUUUUUUACUUUAUGUAUAACUAAUACUUGCAUUAGUUAUACACUCUAUUGUGUAUUAAGAUGUGUAUUACUAAUACCUUAAAAUCCAUGGUAUUAGCAAUGCAAUGAAUCCAAUGCAUGCAUUAACAUGAUUAAAGACACUAUUAUUCAUCAAAAAAUAUUUUCACAUCCUUUCCAACAUAUAUAUGAUGGGUAAUGUGUAAGAAAAAAAUUCUUUUAGAAAUUAUGUAAUUCAUGUUAUUUUUAAUACAUCAAACCAAAUACUGCAUAAGAAAAAUACAGGUAUAAUUAAUGCAAGCAUAGCUACUACAAAACAUUACUAAUACAAACAUUACUAAUACACCAUAUUUUAUAUUAGUCUUAUAUACUCUACCAAACAACCCCUAAAUUUACAAAGCAACUUUAAAGAUGGUACUGUAAAUUCCCUGAAUGAUCACCCAUAUUUGGGAAAUUAUCUAUAAAUAUCAUUUUUGUUUUAUUUAGGACAAAAAUAUCAUCCAACUUUCCUUAUUUUUCUUAAAAUAUACUUAACACCUCAAAAUCUUUCUCUCUCCUACUUAAAAUGCCAUGUCAUUAAAUUUUUUUAUUUUUUUUUAUAAAUGUAUAACUUAUCAAACUUAUUUAACUAAAGGUUUAUCCUAAUUCUUUAAAAAAAAAAUUACACAUGAUAUAUUAAUCAUUGAAGAUUAAUUUAAUCACACCAAAAGGUUGUGUUAUUUUAUUUGAUAUGUACUCUUCAAAAUUUCUUUUAUUUACUUAUUUAUUUCACCACGUAAUAAUAGUUUUAAAAUACAAGUACUUAUACAAAUUGGUACAAUAAUUUUUUUGUAGUUUAUUUUAUAUACUAAAAAUUUUUAAAAUGUAAAAGAAAUAAAACGAUGGAUUUCAUAGUUUAGACAUUAAGUUUGUUAUAUACAUGAGAAUAGAAGAACAAUAUCCCUUUUUUGAAGGAAAGAAAAAUUAUGUAGUUUUAAAACAAAUAAACCCUUUUUAAAAAAUAUUAACAAAAUGAUACCUUCUUUAGUAAUAUUACAAAUGGAUUUUUAAAAUAUUACUCAAUCAAUUAUUCUUUACUUUUGAUGGAUUUAGAAUGAAGUAUGGGUAUAAAUUAGCGUUUAAUUGUAUAAUAAAAUAAAAUAUAAAUAUAAUGAUCACAAAAAAAAAAGUAAAGAAACUAAAUUAAAAAUAAUAAUUUCUUUUCUAAACUUUAUGUCUUAUCUUACGGAUUUACAUGUUUUAUUUAUGGACAAUUACUUGUAAAAAAUUUGCAAGAAAAAAAAUCUUCUUUUCACUAUAUAUUUAUCAAAAAUUAUCUUGCAUAAUAAUUUGCAAGUAAUCCCUGUCUAAGUUAAAUUUUUCAGGUAAUAAUACAUAUUAAAAUUUUCUUAUUGAAUUUAUUUUGGCAACAAAAAAUAUCGUAGAUUUGCCAUCAAUGUUUUUAAAUAAUAAAUCAUAUUUUUUUUAUUCUCUAUUACUCUAUAUUUGUAGGUAAUAUAAUAUCUUUGGAUUAUAUUAAUCCAAAAAUUCUUUUGUAUAAUUCAAAAAAAGUGGAUUUUAUUCUUUUAUUCUCAUAUAAAUAAAAAAUUUAAUUUUUAAAAUAUAAAUCCGUCAUUUUUAUUUCUUUUUAAAAUUUUAAGAAUCUUUAAUAUAUAAAAUAAAUAACAACAAAAAAUUAAACGAGUACCAUUUUUUAUAAGUAUUUGAGUUUUAAAUAUUAUUAAGUGUUGAAAUAAAUAAGUAAAUAAAAGAAACUUUGAAAAGUACAUAUCAAAUAAAAUAAUUCAAGAUUUUGUGUAAUUAAAUUAAUUUUUAAUGAUUAAUAUAGCAUGUUUAAUUUUUUUAAAAGAAAGAAUUAGGUUAAAACUUUAGUUAAAUAGAUCUAUUUAUUUAAAAAAGAAAGAAAUUUUAAUGACAUAUCAUUUCAAGUAGGAGAAGGAAGGUUUUUGAGGUGUUAAGUAUAUUUUAAGGAAAAUAGAAAUAGUUGGGUGAUAUUUUUAUCUUAAAAGAAAUAAAAGUGAUAUUUAUAGAUAAUUUCUCAAAUAUGGGUGACCAUCUGGCCAAUUUACUCUAUUAUUUUCGGCCAAUCAAAUUUGCCCUUGAGAUAUCCACUUUCCUUCAAAUAUGAUCACCUAUCUUAUCUCAAUCUUUUUCCUUAUCACCUCUCUUUCCUUUCCCUUCAAGGUUCCUCUCUCUUUGCUUCUUUUCCACACUGUAAGUUUUUAUUUCUUAUACAAAUCAUAUUUUGAUUUAUUCUAGCUAAAUAUUGAUUCACAGUUAAAGUAACAAACUGCAAAAAUAAUUUUAUUUUAUGAUUUGCGAGCUGUUAUAAAACGAGAGUAGAUUUAUUUAAUGUGCACCAAAAAAUAACGAUAUAUAUAGCAUAUUUCUCUAAAAGUUCAAAAAUAACCUUUACAAACACUUACUGAAAAGUGAUGGUAUACAACAAACACUUCUGAAGUUACAUUAGCCAGCUCAGAUACAAUAACCUUCACUUUUGUAGACAGAAAAAGAGAAUUGCUGAUGAGGACUAAUUGGUACUCCCUCAUUUAUUUUAGACUUUUCACAUCUUUUAAGAAAAAAUAGUUUUUUCUUUUUGGGUUUCUCAUUCGGGGUCUGCAUUGGACCCGACUAAUCCAAAUCACAUUUGGCGGGGCUCAAUUUAAUAUGUUUAUUAAAAUAUAAUAAUCAAAGUAAUAAAUAUAUAUUUUAAUAAACAUAUUAAAUUGACUUGGUCUUGGUUUUAACUUUUAACCAAAAGUUGAGCCAAAUCAAAUUGUGAACACCCCUUUAAAUAGUCUUAGUUUUCCCACCUCGGUACUAUCUUUUAGAGUUCAAAACAAAAAGAGAAAAGCUAAGGGUGUAGUUCUACCUGAGUUGUAACAAUGGUAUUAGAGUCGUUCACCAUUUCCUAUGUCGACUGUGCCAUGAAUGAUGACAUUAGUAUGCUAGUGUUCGCUCGGGGCUAAUAAUAUCUAGCGCACAUUAAUGCAGUCAUCGAGAACAACAAAUGUGAAGUGUGGUUGUUUAUUAUUGUUAGUUGCAAGUCCUACAUUGAUACUCCAAAGUGUCGAUAUAUGUAAGACUUGCAAUUGAAUUAGGGUUGGCAAUCGUAUGAGGCGGUGCGAGAGUAGAGCAGCAUAGGUUUUAGACUAUGCAGGCGGUGGGAGUUUAAGGCCAUGCGGAUGGGAUGGGUUGAAAUAUUUUCUCGAAAGAGCUGAUGAUGCGGGGCGGAAUGAAUUGCGAGUCUAUUGUGUAUGUCGGAUUUUACUUUCACUAUAAUAUAUUUUACAUUUUGUAUUUUUAAGUUACCAAAUAUACAAAAAAAAAAAAAAAAUAACUCAUGAUCGUUAUUUUAUGGUUAUAGUAUGAACCGUAAAAAAACAUAGUAGUAUUUUUCAAUAAGGUAAAGUGAAACUGCACAAGGUAUGUUAUAUCUAAAAUAGUCUCAAACCUGUUCAGAAUGUACAAUACAACUAGCUUGAUGGAAAUUGUACAUGUACGAAUUGAAGUACUAGAGUAAAAGUUGUGAAAGAUAGUAGAAAAAGAACAUAUCAACAACAUGGUUAUGAUGAAGAAUAUUGCGCGCAUGACAAGGACGAAGACAUGAGAAACCAACAUUAAUUUUUUGUAUAUCAAUUUUUUAAAAAUAAUAAAAAGUUAAUGGGGCGCGAGUUGAAUCCUUGAGGAAUUAUGCAGGGUGUGUCCGCAACCACGUAGUGCACCUAUUUACUAUCCCUACACUGAAUUUAGGUACCUUAUACUUGGAUCUUAAUACCUCACUAAUUUGUUUGUAGAUCUCAAGCUAUGGCGGCCUCCAAGGUAUCCAUCAUGUCAACAUGGACAGUUAAAGCUGGAGGGAGUCUUACUGAAGAGCACUGCCAUUCAGAUAAUUGUAAGAUAAUUGAGCUGACACCAUGGGACAUUCUUGAGCUUCAAAUUGAAUAUGGUCAAGGCGGAGUCUUCUAUCGCAUGCCUACAUCUCAACAAGUAAGAGAUCUAUCAAAAGCGACCAACACCGACUCCUUGAUUGAUCAUCUUAGAGUUUCAUUAUCUCGAGUUUUAGAUUUCUUUCAUCCGUUCUGUGGCCGCCUUGAGGCUAUCACUGAGCAGAUCAGUGGAACCACUUCUUUCUUCAUUAACUGUAACAAUGCCGGUGUUCAAUUCAUCCAUGCAAAGGCUGAUAAUGGUGUUACAGUUGACAACAUUUUGGAAUCAAAUUUCGUUCCUCAGGUGGUACAAGAACUUUUCCCAUUAAAGGGAGUUCAAAACAAAGAGGCUACCUCCCAACCACUUUUAGCUGUGCAAGUAACAGAGUUUGUGGAUGGCAUUUUCAUUGGCUGCUCAAGCAAUCACACAGUAGCUGAUGGAUCAUCCUUUUGGCAUUUUUAUGAUUCUUGGGCUGAGAUAUCUUGUGGUUCUAAUGUCAUCUCAAAAAUCCCCGUUUUGAAACGUCAAUUCCCUUUCAAAAUUGAAAAUCUCUCUAAACGCAUUUCUAUACCUAAUGAAAGAAUCAAUGUCGCAGGCGAUCAUAAAUUCAUUCCACCAGCUGUACAAAUAACGUUGCGAGAAAAGGUGUUUCAUUUUACCAGAGAAAGUGUAGCCAAGCUAAAAGCAAAGGCCAAUCUUGAAAUGAACACCACCAAGGUUUCGUCUCUUCAAGCUGUGUUGGCUCAUGUUUGGCGAUCCGUCAUACAUUGUCGUCGUCAUCUCGAUCACAGCGACGAGACUACUUUUGAGGUAUCGAUCAACAUGAGGGAAAGAUUGAAUCCUCCUUUGCCUGAAGGGUUUUUUGGAAAUGCAAUUUACCCUUCUACUAUAACGAUCAAGACGGGAGAGCUACUCGAGCACGGAUUUGGAUGGGCUGCUUUACAAAUUAAUGAGAUGAUUGCUUCGCACGACCAUAAAAAGUUUAAGUGCAUCUACGAGAGUUGGAUGAAGGACCCUGAGGUAACAAAAUUGGAUGAUUUGCCAAGCAAUUACUUUAUGUUGCACAACUCUCCAAGAUUCAAUGUUUAUAAAUAUGAUUUUGGUUGGGGAAAGCCAAUUGCACACAGAAGUGGCGGGGGGAACUUGUUCGAUGGGAAAAUUACUGUGUUACCUGGGCUAGAACAAGGGAGCAUAAACCUUGAGAUUUGCCUUUCUUCAAAGACGAUGCAAGAACUGGAGGAAGACAAAAUAUUUGGGGAGUUUGUGACCACACCAAUUGUCGGUGUGGAAUAAUGAACGAUUGACAGAGCCAUAAAAAAGUGGUUCUUAAUUAUCAGUGUCUAAAUUUGCUACUUAUCUAUGAAUCUUUCUGCCAGCCUGCCAAGAUAGAGCAUCACCGAAGCAAUAAUAUGUCAUAGAGGAGAUAAGUUGUGUCACAGGGCUGCUGCUUGUAUUUGAGAGAUCUUUUUUAUUUUGUUGCUGUGAUUUGAGAAGCUACAUUCUUUUCAACUGGUAUUAUCUUUGGGGAAAAAAUAUUUGUUUAUUGCACCACAUGUUUAAUUAAUUGAUUAAUUUCUAUAUGAAUCAUAUUUCGUUUUUAGCUGUUAAUGAGUUUUCCAUCUUUAAACAAUGAAAUACUUCCUUAGGUUUAUAAUAAGCAUCUACUUAAGUCUUUAGCUCAACUUAAAAGAAAAACUAAACUCCUAGAAAAAAAUAUUUUGACUAAACUAACCUUACUUAAUCAUAUCGUAGAAAAUUAAAGUAAUUGUAGAAACUACUUUAGAAUAUGUAAAUAAGCACGAAUCUGAAAAAAAAAAAAAAAAGUUAAUUCUUCCUAACGGAGUUCGGAGGGCACUUUUUCUAACGAGGGAUAUGGAACUUAUUGGAAUAUAUAUUAUUAACCAUGGUAUAUAUACUGUUAAUUUAUGUGUUUAGAUAUAAUAUUUAUUAUAGAAUAAUUGUUAAAUUAAUUUUAAUAAAAAAUUUAAUAGAUCAUAUAUUCACUUAUGUGUUCGUUUAAUUAUAUAGCAAAUGAUUUAAUGUAUAAAUUUUUAGCUUAUACACAAAGAGUUAAAUCAUCGAUUCUUAUAAGUAUAAAGAUUUUUGUCCACAAUCCAGGAUGUAAAUUGGAUAAGCCACAAGUAUGAUUAUAGCACAAGUUUAAAUGUAAUUUAUCUUGAUCAUGGAAAAGGUGUAGUUCCGACUUCUCAUGCUAGUUCAUUUUAUAUAUAUUGAAUGGGACCGAGCAGAGAUAGAUGUUUUAGACUGGCUCGCAAAAAUAUAUUCUCUAAACUAUUAAAUGUACUUAUAUUCUCAAUCUUCAUAUAACUAUUAUGAGCUGUAUAUAUUAAUUAUGAUUUUGAUUUAUUAAAAGGUGAGAUCCUGAAAUGGGUCAAAUGGCUGAUAGAUUGGAUGAUAAUAAUAUAUAUUGGUGAAAUAAUAAGUUAGUCGAUAGAAUUCAUGUCUAGAUGUAGAGAUUGAUGAUAUACCUUUUUGAGAAGCUUAUAAUUUUUCACUGUGUCAAAUCAUGUAAGUUAAUUUUAUGAAUCGGAUACAUGAAAUAAGUUAAGUAGUGCGUUAAAGGAAAUUAAUCAUUAGAUUGAAUUCAUCACUAACUUAAUUUAUUAAUUAUUAUCUAUAAUCUUAACUGACGAUACUCGUUUCUUCUUCAUUUUUUUAUUUUUUUUCUGUGUGUGUAUAUAAAUAUUAUUGAAAAUUGAUGUGUUGAUCACUAAAACGUUGUUUCGGUUAGUCCACGUAUGUGACCUUUUAUUUGUGCUUUGUGAGAUUUUAAAUUUUUAUCAUUAAUUUUUGUUUAAAUUGGUUCAUAUGUUUUUAGUUGUCAUAAUUUAUGUUUGUUAGGUUGUGGCCUCACUCAGAAGAAUACGCAAAAGAGUGAAAAUUUCAAUUCAGGUUCUAAUUCAAUUCAGAUUCUAAGCUUCAGAAGAAUACGGAUAUUUAAGGUAUGACUUCUAUCAAUUUAUUUCAUAUACGAUUUUAUUAUUUUCGAAAGUUAGAUGAUUUACCUAAAUUUUUUAUUUAGGAGGAAAUUAUCCUCUCAAUAGUUUUUAGUUGUUGUUUUUUUCGAUUAUAUGUGGGUCAAUUGAUUAAUUACUCAAAAAUUAAGGUUAACGCUUUUUGAUAUGCAUCUUGAAGUUGUUUUAUCCUAUGCGUGUCAAAAUGGUAGAAAUUUAAAGCCAAAGUUAUAUGAAAUUUCAUGCUUGGGUUUUUCUGUGUUGAGGAGUUUUAGCCGAAUUGUAUUCUGUGUUUAGGUAUUGAUUUAGUUAUAAAACUAGGAUUCUUAUCAACAACAAUUAUUUUAUUUGUGUAGACGGUGUUAGUUAGAUUAUAAAAUUUAGGAAAAAGAUUGCAUCUUAUGACUUAAUCUUCAAAUAUUUUCUUGUGUUGUUGUUGACUCGAGAAGAACAGUCCUCUUUUUAUUGUAAACUUUGAAAUAUCAUCAAUUAUAUGAAUCACAUUUAUUCUCGUGUAAUAAUUUUUGUAGAAUUUCUAUCCUAUUAAAAUAUUGUGUCGUUGGAGUGAAAUAUUGUUUGAUCAUGUUAGUUAAUUGGUUCCAGAAAAAACGUACAUGUUGUGGUGAAUAUUGGUGCAUAUUAAUUGAAAAUAAGGAUUGAAAAAAAAAAUUAUGGAGAAAAUAAGGGAGGAUUAUGUAAUUACGUAACUUUUAAUAUUUAUCACUUUUUUUUUUUGUUUCUCAAGGUGUCCUCAGCCAGACAGGUAAGGACUAAUCCUUCGCGGAUUUGAGCUCCAUUUAAGGGUUUGCCGCUGGCCAAUUGGUUGCUUGCAUGUACAAGGCGGGAAUCGAACCCCCGACACUUGCUUAAACGACCUAAUGAGCUAACCACUAGGCCAACCAAGCUUGGUUUAAUAUUUAUCACUUUAUUACCUAAUACAACUAUUAUCCUAAUUUAAAGAUAGUGUAAUAGGUUUUAAAAAAUUUCCACCAUAUUGAAUAUUAGUUAAACCUUUUUUUUCUAAUUAAUUACAUACUUGAGGGAACAAUUAAAAAAAAAAGACACUUGGGAGUCAAAUUAAUCUUUAGACCAAAAGAAAAAUUAUUUCUCAAAAAUUUUAUGAAAAAUGUGGGUAAGAAUUAAAUAAAGCUCAAUUAUCUUAUUAUAAUUGUCAUAUUUAUUUUUAUGAUGUAAGAACUCAUAUUUUAAAAAUUAAGAAAUCUUAAAGUAUAUGGUCAAAGAAAAAUACACGUUGAACCUACAAUACAACUUGCGUGAAAUUAAGUAUAUCACCCUUAUAUAUAGUUUCCUUGUCCACAAUGACUACAACAUCGAUCUCUUCAUCUCAUAAUAAUUAAAAAAGAAAAAUGCUCUAUUUCCACCUUGAAUUAUACGCGAAAAGGUUAAGACACACCCAAAUUUUAGGAGGGUCCUAUUACCCCCAGACUAAUUAAAAUUGUAUUUUUGACAACUUUAGUACCUACGUGGCACACACGUGUGCCUGCGUGGACCCUUCAGUGUGUUUUGCCACGUAGGCACUAAGAUUGUCAAAAAUACGAUUUUAAUUAAUCCAGGAAUAAUAGAACCCUCCUAAAAUUCGGGUGUAUCUCAGGCUUUUCAUGUAUAGUUCAAGAUGGAAAUAGAGCAUUAUCUUAUUAAAAAAUAAUGGAGGAUGUUUACUCCAUAGUCCACUAACAUUACAAGUAUUUUUAUUAUGGAAUUGUUUUUUUUUCUAAACAAACUAAAAAAAUAUUAUUCUUUUCAAGUAAUUUGUUAAUUGUUAUGACCGUAAUAAAUAUAGCACAAAAUUUUCUUUUUGAUUUUUUGUCUUAUGUUUAAUAUUUGCAUUGGAGUCGGAUGAAUCUAACUGGCACCACACAAAGGUCAUUCAGAAAAAAUACUCUCUGCCAAAGAUUUGUUUAUUUAUAGAAUUUGAAAUUAAGAUCUUUGAAUAAGGGGAGCAAUCACAUCCAUUACACCACACAUUCGAUGGUGGUGUAAGACGUCAUAUUAUUUGAGUUUUGGUAUUUUUUCAACUUGAUCCGCUCAUUUCUAAUAAGACUAGAUUUGAAAAUAAAAAUCAAAGAAAUAAAGUUUUGUCCACUAUUGAUGUGGUGGACCUCCCUCCCUCCCUGACUAUCCGAUAAUAAGUAUAAAUUUAAUUGGUAUAAAUACUGAGUAAGAGCGUACAAGAGAGCAUAACACAGGUACAUUACUCUUAUUCUAUGUCUCACUUUGUGUGUUUGUUAACAUAGAAAUUAUCGUCCUUCGUCUAAAACAUAAUAGAGAACAAAUCGCACAGUUGAUAGAGAAAGCAGCGGCGGUGGUCGGGUACCUGCCAGGUACCCUACUACCAUCUCUAACAACAACAACAACAACAAGAACAACAAUUGACGGGGAAUGCAACUGCGGCAGUGAUGGGGUACCCAAUGCAUGUACCCUAUUACCAUCUCCUUUAGCGGCAACAACAACAAGAACAAUAAUCUACUGUGAAUGUUAUCGGGACGGUGACGGCAGUUGUAUUUUUGUCACUAGAGACUUUCGAUUACCUAUAUAUAUAUAUAUAUAUAUACUCGGUGAGUUUAUUUUAUUUGUUCAGUUUAAACUUUGCACAUUCCUUAAAAACAUCAUGACUAACCCCUUGGUUGGAUGGUGGUUUUUCAUGGUAUGGUUACCAAGGAACCAUGUUUGUUUUGAUUGUUUUCUAAGGCCCCGUUUAGCCAUGAAAAUCAUAAUUUUUUGGAGUUGGAGUUGGAGUUGUGUUUGGCCAUGACUAUAAAUUAAAGUUGUUUUUGAAAUUUUGUGAGACAAGUGUGAGUGAAAAAAGCUAAGUGAAAACAAGUUUUUUUUUUUUUUUUUUUUUUCACUUUUUCAAAUACAAUUUUGAAAUUGUAGUUGAAAUUUUUAUUUUCAAACGCAUCUUGUUUUCACUUUUUCCACUAAAGCAAAUAAUUUUCGAAAAAAAAAAAGAUAAUUUUCAUGGUCAAACGGCUGCUAAAAAGCAUGGUAUGGUAUUGUAUAUUUUCAUGGUUUGAUAACCAUGAAAUCUCUUAAUUUACAAAACCAUCGAUUUGGUGGUAUCCCAUGAUUUUAUUAUUUUUUUUCCAUUAUGCCCUUAUAUAAAAUAUUAUUUAAUCUUAUUUUACCCUUUAUCCUGUAUUUCUUUCUACCCUAAUUUAUUUUUAUUUUUACGCUUUUCUGUUCAAUCUGUCCUCUGUGUUGUUCUCCUCUAGGCUCUUCUUCGUUCUUCCGCCUUCUCUUCUCUUCCCUUCUUCUACCACAUCUGAAAAUUAAGAAGUCAAGAACCGAUAUUCAUAAUUCAGGGAUUUAAAGGCAUGCAUUUUACAAAUUAUCUGAUGCUCAAAAUAAAACUCACACAUAAGACAUAAUUUUAACACGUCUUGAUUGAUGAGAUUAUUAAACACCAAAAGAAACUAAUAAUCCCAUCCGAGUAAUCCCUAUUAUCGAACUGCUAAACAUAGACAUCAUGCCUUAUUUGAGAAUAUCUACAACUUCAACAAUAAUACAAUGCAUUUAGCGGGUUUCCCACUAGUAUUCGGAAAGAAAUACAAUGUAUUGUAUUUAACGGGCUUAAACACAUGUAUAAGCAAGCUGUAAGAGAUCGAAGAGAAAUAUAAUUAUCAGCAAUUUAAUAAACUUACCCAUUACGAUACAAUAUCAUACCAUCAAACCAAACAACAAAAUUAUUAUUAAAUAGCCGUGAACGAUACAGUCCAUCCAAACAUUGUAUAGAACCAUACUAUACAGUAUCAUAUAUACCAUACCAUACUAUACCGUACAUUAUGAAACUAUGACAAACCACCAUCCAAACAAAGUGUAACAUGAGUAUUUCACUAUAAUAUUUAUAUUAAUUAAUAUUUUAUCUUGGGAAAUAAAUCAAAAAUAAGUAAAAAUAUAUUUUUAAUAUAUUAAGAAGUAAAACUGAAUGGGGAAAUAAUAUUCAAUAAAAAUGUCAUUAUUGGCCAGCCAUAUUUACUUGUUUAGCUGCUCGCUCGACAUUAAUUACGACCAUAUAUAAAUACUACUACUACAACUCUGCAAGAGUCGUAGUAUACAUUCUUUGUAAUCGAUGAACUCGUUAUAAGAUGUUUUCAGUUUUUUCAUAUUUGAUUAAUUAAAAAAAAUAUUUAAAGAAAAAUAUUUUUUUAAAAGAAUGAUAAAAAAAAGUAAUUUUCCUAAUUUCAUAAAUGACAUUUCAAAUUUAUUCCACCCAAUGCCUUGCCACCCUAUAAAUAUUUUUGAUGAUAUCCUUUUGCUUGAUUAUCAAAUGAAAAUAUACCUACAAAUAAUGAAAAUAUAUCGAUCUUUUAGCUUAAAUAUCUUUAUUUAUUGUUCAAAAAUAUCUUUUAUCGAGAAAAAAUGUCUUUAAAAAAUAUGUCCGAACUUAAUUUAUUGUUCAUAAAAAAUGUCUUUCUUUCCGAAUUUGCUCUAAAACUCAUCUAAAUCAUUUAAGAGCCUUUUAUGUAAUAUCAAAAAAAUUAGUGUUAUAUGUAAAUAAAAAAAAAACUUGAAAUUGAAGUUGAAAAAAAUUUAAAAUAUUUUUGAAAUAUUUAUGAUCAUGAUAAAGUGAAAUUUUUUUGGGGACAAAAGUACUCCAUAUCUAUGGCCAAACCGCUUCAUAGUCAUUAAAAAAGGAGAAACAAGAAAGAGACCCUAUGUAUAGUGGGAUUUGGUUAAUGUGGACGCGCCGUGACAGCGUCACUUCCACUUUUUUGAAUCGCGAAAACUCUUAACUUUUGUUUUUUUAGAAGAAACCUUUUCAUUUUAAUUUAUUUGCUUGAUUUAAUAGAAAAGUACAAAUAAAAAGAGAUGUUUUUUAAAAACAUUAGACAAAAAGUCAUACGCACCUAAAAAAGAUAAGCAAACAAAUAUCAGUAGUGCUGUCUUGACUGUUUAGAUUGACUUAUUUUUUAUUUUUAAGUAUUUUUUUAUUUUUAAAAAUAUUUGAUAAAGAUAAAAAAAAACUUUUGACUUUUGAAAAAGCUCAUUAUGUGAUUCUUUUUUAAAUGAUGGGAUUACUAAUUGUUAACAGAACUUGCACAUUCUUGAAUCACAUUUGCUAGAAUGAGAAAAACCUCUACUGAUUUUUACUGUUCCAAAAUACUUGCCUAGUUGCCUGUUGUUAGAAAUUACACUUGUGUUACGUGAAGAUCAUUGAUUUCAUAUUUUGUUGUUCUGUUUAUUUAGGAUGUGGCAGACGUAGGAAGUUGAUGCUGGCUCUGCUUAUUCUUCAACUACUUCUUUUGGAGGUGAUUUGCUAUGCAAUUUAUUACUAGCUACCAACUACCUUCUUUUUUUCUUAAUAAUACCAACGUACUUGUUUAGGUAGUGGAGUAGGGGAGGCCAUGAGGGAUACAAAAUUUGAACUUUAUGCAUAGUCUACUUAUUUAGAGGACCUAUUAACAUGUAUACAGAAAGAAUCUGAGUCAAAGUUACUGAGUUUGGAUGGAACCAUAAUUCUACUGUUGUACGCGAUAGAGAGCUUUCAUGAAAUGAAAUGAGGAUGUAUAAGAGAGUGAUGUUUUGAUUAGAUGUUAGUUCUAUGCUUUAAGAUCUUUCUCUUAAGGCUGGUUAACUAUUCUGAAUAUGAAGGCUGAAUAGAAUGUUUGUGAUGUUAAUGUUCUAGCUUAUUCUAUCACUCAAAAGAGAGGUCAAUUUGGAUGUUUACUGACUAAUCCUCAUUAAUUAAAGAACUAAGUAUAUUCUGGUGAAAUCUAACAGGAGUAAUAGUUGCCAAGCACAUUAAAAGAUCCAUCACACACAAGCUACUGUACACUUAUAAAUGCUGUACAUCUUCCCUCUCAAUCUUAAUAGCGCAUCUCUUGAAUCGUUUUGUCUUUUUUUGACAGGUCAACUGCUGAGAAACACUCAUGGCAUUCUCAUUUUCUCUUCCAGCCUUUGUUCAUCCCCAACUCCAGCAUGUUGUUGCAAAGAUGUCUGUGUUUGACAGAAUUGUGUUCUAUGUUAGUGUUCACCGUUCCCCCCUUUUAACCAUGAUAUAUUAUGUGUACCAAUUUGGAAUAUUGCUUUUACUAAUGAACUGUUUUUGAUAUAUCAGGUGGUACAUCUCGUGGACAGGUUUGAUCUAUGGCAUAGGUUACCGGUAUUACUGGGGUUGGCUUACCUAGGACUAAGAAGACACUUGCACCAGCAAUAUAACCUCUUACAUGUAGGAAAAGUUAAUGGCAAGAAAUAUGACACGGAAGAGUUUACCUAUCGGACUGCUGAUGGUACGUGCAAUCAUCCUGUGGAUCAUCUAGUGGGCAGUCAAGGAACCUUCUUUGGCCGCAACAUGCCACCAUCAACUUCGAGUUAUGGGGUAAGCUAACAAUGCAAUCAACUAGGCCUUGCUAAUUAAACAUGGAAAAUUCACAGCUUUCUGUUCUUGUCAAAGCUCUUUUUGAUAGAAUCAACUUUUAUUUACUGAUAGCAGAUGUUUCAGUUUUCUGUUCUGUAGGUUAAGGGUUGCAAAUUAGUCUAUUGAAUCUAUUUCAAUGAUUUUAUGCUGAUUCUUUUGGAUAUUUAAUUAGUAUGGUACAAUUUCAGAUGGCCGUAUCACUAUCUGAAAUCUAUAGCUUGAGAUCUCUCAAUCACUUGUGAUAAUAUCAUUUGAUUAUGCAGCUGCUGGAACCACACCCAGUAACAGUGGCAACAAAGCUCUUCGAAAGAAGAAAGUACACAGAUUGCGGGUGCCAAUUUAACAUGAUAGCGUGUGCGUGGGUACAGUUUAUGAUCCAUGAUUGGAAUGACCAUAUGGAGGACACUAAACAGGUACCUAGUUCUUGCAUAAAUAAAGGCAUGAUGAAAUUCAUCACCUGUUGCAAUAGCAGGCAAAUGUUGCUGGGAGGCCAUUUACUUUGCUUUAUGAAGAUAUGAUUUUGGUUGAUAGUCAAGAAAAGUUCUUUAAGGUUGUGGGGUAAGACAUCACUGUUUUCAUUUUCCAUUUAACAACUGGAGGAGAUUUAAGGGUCGCCAUCAGAUAUAUGCACUUAAGAAUUGGAUAUUGGUCCUGUUAAAAUUGUGUUUUAUGUUUCUCUAACACAAGUUUUCUGACAGGUGGAGCUUAGAGCUCCUCAGGAUGUUGCAACAAGAUGUCCGUUGAAGUCAUUUAAGUUCCUCAAGACCAAAAAACUUCCCACAGGUUCACCUGAUCUGAAGUUUGGGCAUUUGAAUUCAAGGACCCCAUGGUGGUGAGUGGACUCAAAAACUCAAUCUCCACAGAGAGACCUUAAGUCUCUCUGAACAGUUGUGAUUUUAUUUUUACCCUACUGGUGAUAGAGAAAGCUAACAAUUUAGGAGGAUGGUUGAAAAUAAUAACCUGCUUAACUGAAAAUAUUUUUCAGGUAUAGAAAGACCAUUGGUUAUUACCUUGACUCUUUUAUAUCAAAGUGCUGCCUUUUGGCAUGCUAAAAGAGUCAAGGUAAUAACCACGAAAGAGAUGGAGGGAGAAGGGAGGCGAAAAUAUUACUCCCUGUUGACAUAUAAACCUGUCCAAUUGGAACUUGAUUUGAUCCCUUACUUUUGAUUCAGAUUGGAAGUUUGUCUAAUGAUGGAGUCGUAUUUCAUGAUCUGAUGAAUUAUAUAUGCUCCUGCUGUUUUUUAGGGACGGGAGUGUAAUAUAUGGCAACAACGAAGAGGGCAUGGUUAGGGUGAGAACAUUUAAAGAUGGAAAGCUCAGUGUCUCAGGAGAUGGACUUCUUGAACAUGAUGAUAAAGGCAUUCCAAUAUCCGGAGAUGUUCGAAACCACUGGGCAGGCUACUCUCUCUUGCAGGCCUUGUUUGUGAAGGAGCAUAAUGCCAUAUGUGCUAUGCUGAAAGUAGGUUAAUGAAGUACCGAAGAUUCUCUUUUCUAUGGUCAUAUUUUCUGAAUGGAAAAUGAGAAGUUUAAUUGUGGAUGAAAAUGAGCAUGUAUUCUGACAUUUUACAGUUAGCCAGGCUAAUUUUGCACCUAUAAGAACUUUUGCUUAAAAAAUUGAUUUUUUUAUCUCAGGAACAGUACCCUGAAUUUGAUGAUGAAAAGCUGUACCGACAUGCAAGAUUGAUAACCUCAGCAGUCAUUGCUAAAAUCCACACGAUUGAUUUUUCAAUUGAAAUUGUUAAGACUGAUACUGUCAAAGCAGGAACGAGGGUCAACUGGUAAGCCCACUGCUAUUAGUACUUGAUAACAUCUGUCAUCGCACCUGUGUCUGAUCCCUAAAAAGUUAUGCACUUUUGGCUGAUCUGACACGGGUGCUGCAUCACUAUUUGGAGGAUCCCAGCAAAGAUAGUGGAAAAAACCUGGAGUAGGAUAAAGUACUGAAUGGAUAGUACCCCCAAGCUAUCUGCUAUAACUGUGGUUGAACUAACAAAUAGCUCCCAGUUUUCAUUUUCCAAUGAGUUGUCAUGAUCAACCAAAAUUUUGUGCAUCAUGCUUGUCUUGCGAAUGACUAUAAUUAUAAAACACUAGCUAUUAAUGUUAGCUAACAGACUCUAGUCUGAUUCAGGUAUGGCUUUUUGGGGAAGAAAAUAAAGGAUAAGUUAGGACCCAAGUUUGGACCGAUACUGAGUGGAUUAGUUGGUCUUAAAAGGCCUAGAGAUCACGGUACACCCUACUCGUUGACUGAAGAGUUUGUUAGCGCCUACAGAAUUCACUCACUUUUACCUGAGACAAAUGUUCUGAGGGACUUGAAGUCGACUAUUUCAGAAGAAAAAUCCUUGCCUAUUCAAGAAGAGUAUGUUUUUCCAUUUACACAUUUUGCAUUAUAAGCAAAUUAUUGCCUUCCCAUAUGGCAGAUCUUUUUUACAUAAGCUUCGGAUAUUGAUUUGACAGCAUCGAGAUAAAUCUGAUCCACACAUUUGAAGUAAUCCUAUAACACAAAUUAAAAGAACUUGUAGGACAUAUUUUUCUAACUGUCUUGUUUGAUCAGGAUUCCUAUGAGGGAAAUGAUCGGGAAAGAAGGAGAAAAGAACUUGUCCAAAAUCGGUAUGGAGCAGAUGCUGGUCUCGAUGGGUCAUCAGUCAAGCGGAGCUGCUACAUUGUGGAAUUAUCCAUCGUGGAUGAGGAACCUUGUUCCUCAUGAUAUCGAUGGAGAUGAUAGGCCUGAUUUAGUUGACAUGGCCGCCUUGGACAGUAUGUUCAUCCCUCAUCUAGUCCUACUGACUUCAUUCACAUUUAUUUCAUUUCAUCUAGAAAUUAAAUGCUAACUUUCCUAAUGGAAACAGUUUAUAGAGACCGAGAGAGAGGAAUUCCACGGUACAAUGAGUUCAGAAGGAAUUUGCUGAUGGUACCAAUUAGCAAGUGGGAAGAUUUAACUGAUGAUGAAGAAGUAAUUGACGCUCUCCAAGAAGUAUAUGGUGAUGAUACUGAGAAGCUAGAUCUCCAAGUUGGUUUACACGCGGAGAAGAAAAUUAAAGGCUUUGCCAUUAGUGAAACUGCCUUCAACAUAUUCCUGCUCAUUGCUUCAAGGUUUGUCUAUAUAGUGGCGGUGUACAAAACUUAAAACUCUAUUCCAAAUAAGAACUGAUCUUCCCGUGACUAUGUUUUUCCUUUCCAGGAGGCUAGAAGCUGAUCGAUUCUUCACAACUGACUUCAAUUCGCGAACCUACACGGAGAAAGGCUUCGAAUGGGUAAACAAGACAGAGACAUUAAAGGAUGUUAUCGAUCGACACUUCCCUGAAAUGACAGCGAAAUACAUGAGAUGCACAAGUGCUUUCUCACUAUGGAGUUCGGAUCCAGAUCCUAAACACUACUUACCUCUAUAUCUGAGACCAGCAACCUAAUAAGGAGUACUAUAUUUGGUUGAUUGUGAACUUUGUAUAACCUUUGUAUGCGAAUAAUAUGUAAGAGACAACGCCAAGCUAGUUUGCAUGUAAAAUAUAAAGUGACGUUAGUUUAUAAUCAGAUGAAUAAACCAUCGGGUGCUUGUAUGAGAGUUGGUUUGACUGCCCUAAGUAU